UUUUUUUUGGUGUUAUUUUAGUAUGAACUCUUGGGUAGAUCGAUCAGAAAGGAUAACUUGGUGUUAUUUUAGUAUGAAUACUUGGAUAGAUAGAUCAGAAAGAAUAACUUUGGUGUGGUUUCGUACCUUACAAAAAAAUUCUUCUUAUGUUAGCCGCUAGAUAAGAACUUUGGAGGGAUUCUUUAUCGCAAUCUAAGGAUGGUUAUAUGAACCAAUUAGAUUAGCAUUGUUGAGAGAUUGCACUAGCGAAAGUACGGAGCCUAGGCCACAUUUUCAAGCAUUGCAAUACCGUUUGUGCUCAUUUUUAUCGUUCGCUACCUUGCUAUUUUUAUUUAUUCAGAUUAUAAAAAUAUAUUUCUACCAUCCCUAUUACACUUUUAUCACCAUCUCUUCGCCUAACUAGUGCACCUGUACAAUUUACCAUUGUAUUGGGUGUGUUGGGUGUUGGGGAACGUAGUAAUUUCAAAAAAAAUCCUACGCACACGCAAGAUCAUGGUGAUGCAUAGCAACGAGAGGGGAGAGUGUCGUCCACGUACCCUCAUAGACCGUAAGCGGAAGCGUUAUGACAACACGGUUGAUGUAGUCGUACGUCUUCACGAUCGACCGGUCCAAGUACUGAACGUACGGCACCUUCGCGAUCUUCACACAUUCAGCUCGGUGAUGUCACAUGAACUCACGAUCGAGUAAAGCUUCGAGGGAGAGUUCUGUCAGCACGAUGGCGUGAUGACGGUGUUGAUGAAGCUACCAACGCAGGGCUUCGCCUAAGCACCGCUACGAUAUGGUCAAGGUGGAUUAUGGUGGAGGGGGGCACUGCACACGGCUAAAAGAUCGAUGAUCAACUUAUGUGUCCAUGGGGUGCCCCUUGCCUCAGUAUAUAAAGGAGGAGAGGAGGGGAGGCCGGCCGGCCCUAGAGGCGCGCCCAAGUGUGGAGUCCUACUAGGACUCCAAGUCCUAGUAUGAGUCCACCAAGAGGAAGGGAGGGAGAAGGAAGGAGAGGGAGGAAAGGAGGAAAGGAGGGCCGACCCCCUAGUCCAAUUCGGUUUGGGCUAGGGGGGCGCGCACCCUGCCUUGUCCUGCCUCCUCUCUUCCACCACUUGGCCCAUGAGCCCUAAUACUUCUUCCCUCGUAUUUCCGUAACUCCCCGGUAAUCCGAAAAAUACCCGAAUCACUCGGAACCUUUCCGAUGUCCGAAUAUAGUCGUCCAAUAUAUCGAUCUUUACGUCUCGACCAGUUUGAGACUCCUCGUCAUGUCCCCGAUCUCAUCCGGGACUCCGAACAAACUUCGGUAAUCAAAUCACAUAACUCAUAAUAUAAAUCGUCAUCGAACGUUAAUCGUGCGAACCCUACGUGUUCGAGAACUAUGUAGACAUGACCGAGACACAUCUCCGAUCAAUAACCAAUAGCGGAAACUGGAUGCUCAUAUUGGCUCCUACAUAUUCUAUGAAGAUCUUUAUCGGUCAAACGCAUAACAACAUACGUUGUUCCCUUUGUCAACGGUAUCUUACUUGCCCGAGAUUCAAUCAUCGGUAUCACCAUACCUAGUUCAUUCUCGUUACCGACAAGUCUCUUUACUCAUUCCGUAAUGCAUCUUCCCGCAACUAACUCAUUACUCACAUUGCUUGCAAGGCUUAUAGUGAUGUGUAUUACCGAGAGGGCCCAGAGAUACCUCUCCGGCAAUCGAAGUGACAAAUCCUAAUCUCGAUCUAUGUCAACUCAACAAGUAUCAUCGGAGACACCUAUAGAGCACCUUUAUAAUCACCCAGUUAUGUUGUGACGUUUGGUAGCACAUAAAGUGUUCCUCCGGUACUCGGGAGUUGCAUAUUAUCAUAGUCAUAGGAACAUGUAUAAGUCAUGAAGAAAGCAAUAGCCAUAUACUAAACGAUCAAGUGCUAAGCUAACGGAAUGUCCAAGUCAAUCACAUCAUUCUCCAAUGAUGUGAUCCUGUUAGUCAAAUGAUAACUCAUGUCUAUGGCUAGGAAACAUAACCAUCUUUGAUUCAACUAGCUAGUCAAGUACAGGCAUACUAGUGACACUCUGUUUGUCUAUGUAUUCACACGUGUACUAAGUUUCCGGUUAAUACAAUUCUAGCAUGAAUAAUAAACAUUUAUCAUGAAAUAAGGACAUAAAUAAGAACUUUAUUAUUGCCACUAGGGCAUACUUCCUUCAGUCUCUCACUUGCACUAGAGUCAAUAUUCUAGUUCACAUCACCAUGUGAUUUAACACCAAUAUUCACAUUUGUAUGUGAUUAACACCCAUAGUUCACAUCAUCAUGUGAUCAACACCCAAAGGGUUUACUAGAGUCAAUAAUCUAGUUCACAUCGCUAUGUGAUUAACACCCAAAGAGUACUAAGGUGUUAUCAUGUUUUGCUCGUGAAAGAAGUUUAGUCAAUGGGUCUGUCAUAUUUAGAGCCGUAUGUAUUUUGCAAAUAUUUUAUGUCUACAAUGCUCUGCAUGGAGCUACUCUAGCUAAUUGCUCCCACUUUCAAUAUGUAUCUAUAUUGAGACUUAGAGUCCUCUGGAUUGGUGUAAAAGCUUGCACCAAUGUAACUCUUUACGAUGAACUCUUUUCUCACCUUCAUAAUCGAGAAACAUUUCCUUAGUCCUUACUAGGAUAUUCUUGACCAUUGUCCAGUGAUCUACUCCUAGAUCAAAAUUGUACUCCCUUGCCAAACUCAGGGCAAGGUAUACAAUAGGUCUGGUACACAGCAUAGCAUACUUUAUAGAACCUAUGAAUGAGGCAUAGGGAAUGAGUUUUUAUUCACUUUCUAUUUUCUGUCAUGGUCGGGUUUUGAGUCUUACUCAACUUCGCACCUUGCAACACAGGCAAGAACUCCUUCUUUGACUGUUCCAUUUUGAACUACUUCAAAUCUUAUCAAGGUAUGUACUCAUAGAAAUAUCUUAUCAAGCGUCUUAAUCUAUCUCUAUAGAUCUUGAUGCUCAAUGUGUAAGCAGCUUCACCGAGGUCUUUCUUUGAAAAACUCCUUUCAAACAUUCCUUUAUGCUUUCCAGAAAAUUAUACAUUAUUUCUGAUCAACAAUAUGUCAUUCACAUAUACUUAUCAGAAAGGCUUUAGUGCUCCCACUCACUUUCCUGUAAAUACAGGCUUCACUGCAAGUCUGUAUAAAACUAUAUGCUUUGAUCAACUCAUCAAAGUGUAUAUUCCAACUCCGAGAUGCUUGCACCAGUCCAUAGAUGGAUCGCUAAUGCUUACACACUUUAUUAGCACCUUUAGGAUUGACAAAACCUUCCGGUUGCAUCAUAUACAACUCUUCUUUAAUAAAUCCAUUAAGGAAUGCAGUUUUGACAUCCAUUUGCCAGAUUUCAUAAAAUGUGGCAGUUGCUAAUAUGAUUCAGACAGACUUAAGCAUAGAUACGAGUGAGAAACUCUCAUCGUGGUCAACACAUUGAACUUGUCAAAAACCUUUUGCGACAAUUCUAGCUUUAUAGAUAGUAACACUACUAUCAGUGUUCGUCUUCCUCUUGAAGAUCCAUUUAUUUUCUAUGGCUUGCCGAUCAUCGGGCAAGUCCACCAAAGUCCACACUUUGUUCUCAUACAUGGAUCCCAUCUCAGAUUUCAUGGCCUUCAAGCCAUUUCACGGAAUCUAGGCUCGUCAUCCCUUCCUCAUAGUUCGUAGGUUCAUCAUGGUCUAGUAACAUGACUUCCAGAACAGGAUUACCGUACCACUCUGGUGUGGACUGUACUUUGGAAGACCUACGAGGUUCUGUAGUAACUUAAUCUGAAGUUUCAUGAUCAUCAUCAUUAGCUUCCUCACUAAUUGGUGUAGAAAUCACUGGAACUGAUUUCUAUGAUGAACUACUUUCCAAUUCGGGAGAAGGUACAAUUACCUUAUCAAGCUCUACUUUCCUCCCACUCACUUCUUUCUAGAGAAACUCCUUCUCUAGAAAGGAUCCAUCUUAGCAACGAAUAUCUUGCCUUCGGAUCUGUGAUAGAAGGUUUACCCAACAGUUUCCUUUGGGUAUUCUAUGAAGAUGCACUUCUCCGAUUUGGGUUCGAGUUUAUCAGGUUGAAACUUUUUCACAUAAGCAUCGCAGCCCCAAACUUUAAGAAACGACAACUUUGGUUUCUUGCCAAACCACAGUUCAUAAGGCGUCGUCUCAAUGGAUUUUGAUGGUGCCCUAUUUAAAGUGAAUGCAGUUGUCUCUAAUGCAUAACCCCAAAACGAUAGUGGUAAAUCGGUAAGAUACAUCUUAGAUCGCACCAUAUCCAAUAAAGUGCGGUUUCGACGUUCGGACGCACCAUUACGAUGUGGUGUUCCAUGUGGCGUGAGCUCUGAAACUAUUCCACAUUGUUUUUAAAUGAAGGCCAAACUCGUAACUCAAAUAUUCUCCUCUACGAUCAGAUUGUAGAAACUUUAUUUUCUUGUAAUGAUGAUUCUCCACUUCAUUCUGAAAUUAUUUGGACUUUUCAAAUGUUUCAUACUUGUGCUUCAUUAAGUAGAUAUACCCAUAUCUGCACAAAUCAUCUGCGAAGGUCAGAAAAUAAUGAUACCUGCCACGAGCAUCAACACUCAUUGGACCGCAUACAUUGGUAUGUAUUAUUUCCACCAAGUUAGUAGCUCGUUCCAUUGUUUCGGAGAACGGAGUUUUAUUCAUCUUGCCCAAAAGGCACGGUUCGCAAGCAUCAAAUGAUUCAUAACCAAGUGAUUCCAAAAAUCCAUCUUUAUGGAGUUUCUUCAUGCGCUUUACACCGAUAUGACCCAAACGGCAGUGCCACAAAUAAGUUGCACUAUCAUUAUCAACUUUGCAUCUUUUGGCAUCAAUAUUAUGAAUAUGUGUAUCGUUACGAUCGAGAUCCAACAAACUAUUUUUCUUGGGUGUAUGACCAUCAAAGGUUUUAUUCAUGUAAACAGAACAACAAUUAUUCUCUGACUUUAAAUGAAUAACCAUAUUGUAAUAAACAUGAUCAAAUCAUAUUCAUGCUCAACGCAAAAGCCAAAUAACAUUUAUUUAGGUUUAACACUAAUCCCGAAAGUAUAGGGAGAGUGUGAUGAUGAUCAUAUCAAUCUUGGAACCACUUCCAACACACAUCAUCACUUCAUGCUCAACUAGUCUCUGUUUAUUCUGUAACUCCUGUUUCGAGUUACUAAUUUUUAGCAACCGAACAAGUAUCAAAUACCCAGGGGCUACUAUAAACACUAGUAAGGUACACAUCAAUAACCUGUAUAUCAAAUAUACCCUUGUUCACUUUUCCAUCCUUCUUAUCCACCAAAUAUUCAGGGCAUUUUCGCUUCCAGUGACCAUUUCCUUUGCAGUAGAAGCACUCAGUUUCAGGAUUUAGUCUAGCUUUGGGCUUCUUCACGGAAGUGGCAACUUGCUCGCCAUUCUACAUGAAGUUCUAUUUCUUGAAACUAGUGGUCUUGUUAAUCAUGAACACUUGAUGCUUUUUCUUGAUUUCUACCUUCAUCGAUUUCAUCAUCAUGAAAAGCUCGGGAAUCGUUUUUGUCAUCCCUUGCAUACUAUAGUUCAUCACAAAGUUCUACUAACUUGGUGAUGGUGACUAGAGAACUUUUUCAAUCACUAUCUUAUCUGAAUUAACUCCCAUUUGAUUCAAGCGAUUGUAGUACCCAGACAAUCUAAGCACAUGCUCACUGCUUGAGCUAUUCUCCUCCAUCUUUUAGCUAUAGAACUUGUUGGAGACUUCAUAUCUCUCAACUCGGGUAUUUUCUUGAAAUAUUAACUUCAACCCCUGGAACAUCUCAUAUGGUCCAUGACGUUCAGAACGUCUUUGAAGUCCCGAUUCUAAGCCGUUAAGCAUGGUGUACUAAACUAUCCAGUAGUCAUCAUAUUGAGCUAGCCAAACAUUCAUAACGUCUGCAUUUGCUCCUGCAAUAGGUCUGUCAGCUAGCGGUGCAUCAAGGACAUAAUUCUUCUGUGCAACAAUGAAGAUAAACCUCAGAUCACGGACCCAGUCCAUAUCAUUGCUACUAUCAUCUUUCAACUUAGUUUUCUCUAGGAACACAUAUAAAACAUAGGGAAGCAACAACGCGAGCUAUUGAUCUACAAGAUUAUUUGCAAAAUACUAUCAGGACUAAGUUCAUGAUAAAUUAAAGUUCAAUUAAUCAUAUUACUUAAGAACUCCCACUUAGAUAGACAUCCCUCUAAUCAUCUAAGUGAUCACGUGAUCCAAAUCAACUAAACCAAAACCGAUCAUCACGUGAGAUGGAGUGGUUUUCAAUGGUGAACAUCACUAUGUUGAUCAUAUCUACUAUAUGAUUCAUGUUAGACCUUUCGGUAUCAGUAUUCCGAGGCCAUAUCUGCAUAUGCUAGGCUCGUCAAGUUUAACCCGAGUAUUUCUGCGUGUGCAAAACUGGCUUGCACCCGUUGUAGGCGAACGUUGAGCUUAUCACACCCGAUCAUCACGUGGUGUCUCGGCACGACGAACUUUGGCAACGGUGCAUACUCAGGGAGAACACUUGUACCUUGAAAUUUAGUGAGAGAUCAUCUUAUAAUGCUACCAUCAAUCAAAGCAGAAUAAGAUGUAUAAAAGAUAAACAUCACAUGCAAUCAAAAUAUGUGAUAUGAUAUGGCCAUCAUCAUCUUGUGCCUUUGAUCUCCAUCUCUAAAGCAUCGUCAUGAUCUCCAUCGUCACCGGUAUGACACCAUGUCUCUAUCAUCUUGAUCUAUAUCAAUGUGCCGUGACAUGGUUGUCUCGCCAACUAUUGCUCUUGCAACAAUUGCUAUCGCAUAGCGAUAAAGUAAAGCAAUUAUUUGGCGCUUGCAUAUUAUGCAAUAAAGGGACAACCAUAAGGCUUCUGCCAGUUGCCGAUAACUUCAACAAAACAUGAUCAUCUCAUACAACAACUUAUAUCUCAUCACGUCUUGACCAUAUCACAUCACAACAAGCCCUGCAAAAACAAGUUAGAUGUCCUCUACUUUGUUGUUGCAAGUUUUACGUGGCUGCUACGGGCUUAGCAGGAACCGCUCUUACCUAUGCAUCAAAAACCACAACAAUUUUUCGUCAAGUAUGUGAUGUUUUAACCUUCAACAAGGACCGGGUGUAGCCACACUCGAUUCAACUAAAGUUGGAGAAACUGACACCCACCAGCCACCUAUGUGCGAAGCACAUCGGUAGAACCAGUCUCGCGUAAGCGUAUGCGUAAUGUCGGUCUGAGCCACUUCAUCCAACAAUACCGCUGAAUCAAAGUAUGACAUGCUGGUAAGCAGUAUGACUAGUAUCGCCCACAACUCACUUGUGUUCUACUCGUGCAUAUAACAUCUACGCAUAAACCUGGCUCAGAUGCCACCAUUGGGGAAUGUAGUAAUUUCAAAAAAAAUCCUACGCACACGCAAGAUCAUGGUGAUGCAUAGUAACGAGAGGGGAGAGUGUCGUCCACGUAUCCUCGUAGACCGUAAGCGGAAGCAUUAUGACAACGCGGUUGAUGUAGUCGUACGUAUUCAUGAUCGACCGAUCCAAGUAUGUACGGCACCUCCGCGAUCUGCACACGUUCAGCUCGGUGACGUCCCACGAACUCACGAUCCAGUAGAGCUUUGAGGGAGAGUUCCGUCAGCAUGAUGGCGUGAUGACGGUGUUGAUGAAGCUACUGACGCAGGGCUUCGCCUAAGCACCUCUACGAUAUGACCCAGGUGGAUUAUGGUGGAGGGGGCACUGCACACGGCUAAAAGAUCGAUGAUCAACUUGUGUGUCCAUUGGUGCCCCUUGCCUCAGUAUAUAAAGGAGGAGAGGAGGGAAGGCCGGUCGGCCCUAGAGGCGUGCCCAAGUGUGGAGUUCUACUAGGACUCCAAGUCCUAGUAGCAGUCCACCAAGAGGAAGGGAGGGAUAAGGAAGGAGAGGGAGGAAAGGAGGAAAGGGGGGCCGGCCCCCUAGUCCAAUUUGGUUUGGUCUAGGGGGCCACGCGCCCUGCCUUGUCCUGCCUCCUCUCUUCCACCACUUGGCCCAUGAGGCCCAAUACUUCUUCCCCCAUAUUCUCGUAACUCCCCGGUACUCCGAAAAAUACCCGAAUCACUCGGAACCUUUUCGAUGUUCGAAUAUAGUCGUCCAAUAUAUCGAUCUUUACGCCUCAACCAUUUUGAGACUCCUCGUCAUGUCCCCGAUCUCAACCGGGACUCCGAACAAACUUCGGUCAUCAAAUCACAUAACUCAUAAUAUAAAUCGUGACCGAACGUUAAGCGUGCGGACCCUACGGGUUCGAGAACUAUGUAGACAUGACCGAGACACAUCUCUAGUCAAUAACCAAUAGCGGAACCUGGAUGCUCAUAUUGGCUCCUACAUAUUCUACGAAGAUCUAUAUCGGUCAAACCGCAUAACAACAUAUGUUGUUCCCUUUGUCAUCAGUAUGUUAUUUGCCCGAGAUUCGAUCAUCGGUAUCACCACACCUAGUUCAAUUUCGUUACCGGAAAGUCUCUUUACUCAUUCUGUAAUGCAUCAUCCCGCAACUAACUCAUUAGUCACAUUGCUUGCAAGGCUUAUAGUGAUGUGCAUUACCAAGAGGGCCCAGAGAUACCUCUCUGACAAUAGGAGUGAAAAAUCCUAAUCUCGAUCUAUGCCAACUCAACAAGUACCAUCGGAGACACUUGUAGAGCACCUUUAUAAUCACCCAGUUACGUUGUGACGUUUGGUAGCACACAAAGUGUUCCUCCGGUACUCAGGAGUUGCAUAAUCUCAUAAUCAUAGGAACGUGUAUAAGUCAUGAAGAAAGCAAUAGCAAUAUACUAAACGAUCAAGUGCUAAGCUAACGGAAUGGGUCAAGUCAGUCACAUCAUUCUCCAAUGAUGUGAUCCCAUUAAUCAAAUGACAACUCAUGUCUAUGGCUAGGAAACAUAACCAUCUUUGAUUCAAUGAGCUAGUCAAGUAGAGGCAUACUAGUGACACUCUUUUUGUCUAUGUAUUCACACAUGUACUAAGUUUCCAGUUAAUACAAUUCUAGCAUGAAUAAUAAACAUUUAUCAUGAAAUAAGGAAAUGAAUAAUAACUUUAUUAUUGCCUCUAGGGCAUAUUUCCUUCAUUGAGGACAUAAGAGACUCUUUGUUAUUUGGUUGCAGGGUUGUUUGAGAGAGACCAUCUUCAUCCUACGCCUCCCACGGAUUUAUAAACCUUAGGUCAUCUGCUUGAGGGAAAUUUGCUACUGUACUACAAAACUCUGGGCUUGGAGGCCCAACACGAGUAUACAAGAAUAAAGUUGCAUAGUAAACAUCAAGCUCUUUUCGGCCGCCGUUGCUGGGGAGGUGAGUGCAUGAAGCUAUAUCUUUAGAUCUUGCAAUUGAAUCGUUUAGUUUCUUGUUUUAUCACUAGUUUGGUUUGUAAAAGAAAACUACAAAAAAAUGGAAUUGAGGUAGCCUCAUAUUAUUCGUCUUUAUCAUGUCUUUCUUGAAAAUGAUGGAAAGGAAAAUUGUGCUCAAUUGAUAGAAGAGGAAUUCAAUAAAAGGGAAAUUUUCUACUGUCCUACAAAACUCCACGCUUGGGGGCACUCUUUGAGGUUCUUUGUGUUGGAUUGAGUAUUAUGAAUCUGAAUUUGUUUUGGUAUUAUUUUAGUACGAACUCUUGGGUAGAUUGAUCGGAAAGGAUAACUUGGUGUUAUUUUAGUACGAACUCUUGGAUAGAUCGAUUGGAAAGAAUAAUUUUUAGGUGGUUUCGUACCCUACAAACAAUUUCUUCUUAUGUGCUCCGCUAGAUAAGAACUUUGGAGUGAGUCUUCAUCACACUUUGAGGGAUGGUUAUAUGAUUCAAUUAGAUUAGCAUUAUUGAGAGACUGCACUAGCGAAAUUACAGACCCUAGGCCUUGCUUUCAAGCAUUGCAAUACCGUUUGUGCCCACUUUUAUCGUUUGUUACCUUGCUUUUUUUAUUUAUUCAGAUUAUAAAAAUAUAUUUCUACCAUCCAUAUUACACUUUUAUCACCAUCUCUUCGCCGAACUAGUGCACAUAUACAAUUUGCCAUUGUAUUGGGUGUGUUGGGGACACAAGAAAUUUCUUGUAUUUGGUUGCAGGUUUGUUUGAGAGUGACCAUCUUCAUCCUACGCCUCCCACGGAUUGAUAAACUAUAGGUCAUCCACUUGAGGGAAAAUUGCUACUGUCCUACAAAACUCUACGCUUGGAGGCCCAACACGAGUCUACAAGAAUAAAGUUGCAUAGUAGACAUCAACAACCCAGCAAGCUCGAAGGCUGUGGGUUGAGUUUGUAUUGAGCAGGACGGAGUGUAUAGGGCAUGGUUUGUCCAGUAGUUCGUCAAUGACCAUUCUGGAUCCUGCCAAUGGUUUCUUCUUUUUCUCGGAUGACUCAUAUUUAUCUGACCGUCAAGAGUAUGCGUGCUUCGCCCAGGCUUGUCUGGAUUCCUCGACAUGGAUUGACUCCGAUUGCUCUUGCUGAGCCUGCCAAGCAUCCUCGAUGGUGCAUUAUUUGCACACCAAGUCUGAUAACUUGGAGAAGUUUCAAAUGUGACGGCGGGCGAGGACGUUUAGGAUGCCUUUUUCUCGACAGUUAUGCCGAAAAGUUGCCAGAAUUUCCUGGCUUCCGUAGUUGCUUUCUUCUUUUUUACAAGGAGGAAUCUUGUCUAGAAUUGUCGGACUGUUUCUCCGGGUUGUUGUUUAACGUACGUUAGAUCCCAUAUGUUGGGCUGCCCCGAGUUACUUGGGUAGUACUCGACGUGGGGGUGGGUGGGACAAAAAAGUUGAUCCCAGCAGGGUGUGAGUCCAAAGUCUUAGUGGCCAAGCCCUAGGCCGAUGUGGAAUUCAACAUGCCGAGCUUUGAGUUUGGAUUUUCAGCUGGGCACAAUUGCGUAGACUCGAGGUUGUGUGUUGAAUCGGGCUAUGGCUUUGGACUCUCUCUGGGGCGGAGGUCGGAUUCCGAGCUAGGGAACGGAGCUCGAUGAUCGAAGAUCUGUAUCCCAUCCGCUCUUGGCUCCACAGAUAGUGGGGACAAGCCCUCGACUAGGUCUUCGAUAGUGGCGAUGAAGUGAGUGAUAGGCGGGAUGAAAAUUUCCCUGUCGUCGGCUGUAAGUAUGAUCUAAUCAUAAACCGAGGACUGGCCAUCGGUGAUCCCCAUGGCUUAGAUCUGAUCCAGUAUCUCGUUUAAUAGAGAGAGAUCUAUCGGAUCCAUAUUCUGGCAAUGCUCGGGGUUAAUAUGCAGUGUUGUUGUGCUGGAGCAUUUGAAAUCUCCCUGGGGUCGUUGUCGGUGUCAAAACCGGCGGAUCUCGGGUAGGGGGUCCCGAACUGUGCUUCUAGGCGGAUGGUAACAGGAGACAAGGGACACAAUGUUUUUACCCAGGUUCGGGCCCUCUCGGUGGAGGUAAAACCCUACUCCUGCUUGAUUAAUAUUGAUGAUAUGGGUAGUACAAGAGUAGAUCUACCACGAGAUCAAGGAGGCUAAACCCUAGAAGCUAGCCUAUGGUAUGAUUGUUUUUCGUCCUACGGACUAAAACCCUCCGGUUUAUAUAUACACCGGAGAGGGUUAGGGUUACACAGAGUCGGUUACAAUGGUAGGAGAUCUACAUAUCCGUAUCGCCAAGCUUGCCUUCCACACCAAGGAAAGUCCCAUCCGGACACGGGACGAAGUCUUCAAUCUUGUAUCUUCAUAGUCUAGGAGUCCGGCCAACGGUGAUAGUUCGGCUAUCCAGACACCCCCUAAUCCAGGACUCCCUCAGUAGCCCCUGAACCAGGCUUCAAUGACGACGAGUCCGGCGCGCAUAUUGUCUUCGGCAUUGCAAGGCGGGUUCCUUCUCUGAAUACUUCAUAGAAGAUUUUGAACACAAGGAUAGUGUACGGCUCCGCAAAACAAGUUCCACAUACCACCGUAGAGAGAAUGAUCUUUACACAAAUUUAAUCUGCUAACGUAUUUUGCGGCGUGACGUCACAUCACGGCCAAGCCUUUACUGGAAUUUUUACUGUCCCACCUCAGCGCGUUUAGCGAGGUAGUUUCCUUGGCACGUCUUGUCAAAGCGAAGAUCGUGCCCCCUUAUUCCAGGAUUCUCAUCAAUACGGGCGUGGGUAACCCAGUCGUGCCUGCUGGCGCGCCUCCUCUAUCGAAAGCGAGUCCCGAACGGUCAUGGGGAGGGCUCUUGGUAUCCAACCUCUUUAUAACGAGACCAAGGCCUGCUCCUUUUUUUCAAUCUCAAUCAAAUCCGCCCCUCGCCUCGAGUUCCAACACCCAAAGCUCUAGAUUCAGGCGCUUCAGAGCUCCGAGGAUGUCCGGUUCUGACCUGCAAGGCCGGUGGAUGCCUUCCUCCAUCAUGGAGGAAGACGUGCUAAAGCUGAGAGACGCCCGGUAUCUGACCGGCGAAAUUGCGCACAGGCUACCUGCUCAAGGGCAGGUUACUCCCACUCCCAAGCCUGGCGAGAGCGUGGUGUUCAUGUCUCACUUCCUUCAGGGGUUAGGCUUCCUGAUGGACCCCUUCGAGAGGGGGCUCAUGUUUUAUUAUGGGCUAGAAUUUCAUGAUUUGGAUCCGGAGUCUAUCCUCCACAUCUCAUCGUUUAUUGUCGUAUGCGAAGCCUUCCUCCGCAUUACCCCUCACUUCGGGUUGUGGCUCAAAACCUUCAAAGUGCAACCGAAGAAGAUCAGGGGGCAGCUGGCAGAGUGCGGAGGGGUUGUCAUAAGCAAGAAUGUUGAUGCUCCAUGGCCCGAGGGCUCUUUUCAAGAGGAGACUAGUUUGUGGCAACAGGAGUUGUUCUACAUCACCGCUCCCAGGGGCACCAGAUGGGUGGCGCCACCUGCCUUUCGCUCGGGCCCUCCACAAUGGCUGGCAUCAUGGGUCAACAAGGGGCUUGACUGGGGGCCGUCCAAGGAUGUACCACUGUUGCAGGGCCGUAUUCGAGACCUCUAAGAGAGGGAGAUCAAUCUGGUUGUAGUGGCGCAGGUCAUGCUAAUUCAGCGCCUUCUACCCUGCAAACGUCACCCCCUCCGCCUGUGGGAAUUCAAUCCGGAGGGACCACGAGCUCUCCAACACUUCAUGGGUGCGACGCCCGUGGAGAUGUAUAAAUUGUUCUUCGGAUCACAAGAGAUGUGUCCGGACUUGACCGAGGACGCAGGUCUGAGCUACAAUCGCCCGGAUACUCAAGUAAGUAGUCAUGUGCCCGGACACGCUGUCCAUAUAUUUAUCAUAAACUUCUCCUUUAAAGAGUUAUCCCUUGAAUAGGAGUGGAUAGCAAAAGCAAAACUAAUAAGGUGUCCGGCCCCCCUCCCUGAGACCACACCGGAUCCUGUGUUAACCAAGAUGCUGGAGGCCGCGCCUUUGGAAGAGGGCGAUGGGGGGAACAGGAAAACUACUGCCUCCGCUAAGGAGGCUCUCAAGAAAGGGGGGAUCGAGAAUCCCUCCCUCUAGGGGGGGGAAGAGGACCGCUUCUGAAGAUCCGGAGGCCAAGGCCUCAAAGCGGGGGAAGAAAUCCUCACCAGAGGGUCCUGCGCCGGGAGAGGCCCCGGUCGCACUAUUUCCCCAAGGAAAUCAGCCCUCUAGAAAGCCGUAAGUAGAAAGGAGAGUUUUGUAAUAAGGGACAUCCCUGUUUUUAUUUCUGAAGAUAAAUGAAGUUUUACCUUGUAGUUCGGAUCUCAGCCCUUCUUAGCAGAGCUCGUCUUCAGGUGAUCUUCGUCCGGAGAUGAUGGAGAGCGAAACGCCUCCAUCUGCCGCACCGUCAGGCGGGGCGGACGACCCUGAGGUGUCAUCGCGGAGGGUUUCCUCGAGUCCGGCGGGGCCGGAAGGUUCGGCACCAACUAGUGUACGGUCGGCGGAGCUGAAGGAUCUGCUCGGGUGAGCGUCUAUCUCAGAAGAUCACCGUACGUCAAUGGGUACGGUGAUUGAAAGGAUUUCAUCCGCUGAGAGCGGAUUGCAUGAAGCCGUCAGAAGUUUACUGACGGGGUUUGAGGUACGCAAAAAUGAUAUACCUUCUAACAGUUUUGCAUAUAGAAUGCGCCCUUUAUAGAUAGUAGCCCCUGAGACGCGGUACGUUGUCAAAGGUGACAGCGUGUCGAGGAUCAUAAUCUCAGUUGUAAGAUGUCGCCCUUCCUAUAUAGGUGGAGGAGCGUUCGGUGGCCAGCCGUACUGAUGGAUUUGCCGAACUGAAACGGCAACUUGACGUUGCGGAUGCGGACAUCAUGCUGGUCAAUAAGCGACUUGAUGAGUCACAAGGUAUGUGGCUUCUCCGCGGACACCUGGUAAGGGAGCCUGACGCCCGUGCCUUACAACAUGUAUGCUUAAUGCAGAUGGUGCUGCUGCUAUGGAGGACCUUUGGGCGGAGCUCGCCCGAGCCAAGGAGCAAGCCAGAAAAAGUAAUGCGGCUUCCUUGAAGGCGGUCGAAGAGCUAAAAGCCGAACAGGCUGCUCACUGCCGAAGCAGGGAGGAAAUGGCCAAGAUGGCUGUGAAGUUAAAGAAUGCUGCCGACCGCUGCCAGCUUCUUGAAAAAGAAGAUCGAGUGGUGCAAGAGGACCUGAAGAAGGUCACUGCCAGGCCAAGGAUGCUCGCUCUGCGAUGAGAGCUAUGAAGGAGGAGCUACAUCAGGCCGGAGAUAUCGCGGCUGGAAAGCCCUUUCUGCUGCGGAGGAAAUUCGUGGAUCCUAAAUAUGCUCAGCUGGACCGAUUGUGGAGUGUGGAGGAUGCUUAUCUCGACCUAGCGGCAAGUGCCGCGGACGCGGCCAAACACUUCCAAGAUCAUCAGGAUCGCAAAGUGGAAAAGGUUUUUUGGUCACAGUUCCAUAAUCCGGAGCGCCCACUUCCCUUAACCGAUCGCUUGGCCGAAUGGGCGGAGCUGAAUAGGUUAUCCGGACUUGCCAUGAAGUCUGUCGUGACUCAUUUGUGGCCAAAGAGGCCCGAGCCGAGGAGUUAUUUUGGCUUGGUGCAGCAGUUCCUUGGUGCGGUGCCGCAUAUUAGUGCAAUGAAGCGGUCAGCAUGCAUAGAGGGUGCGCAGAUGGCUCUCGCUCGUGUCAAGACAUACUGGGCAGAGAUGAAGGCCACUGGCGUUGCAUCGCAGGAUUCGGACCGAAGCCGAGUACCUGCCGAGCACUACUUUGAGGAAGUCCUUCAGGGCGCUCGUUUAAUAGAGACGCAGUGCUCGAAGGAUAUUAUGUUCCAAUGACAUGUAUGAUUUGUGAAGCAAUGUUUCAAUAGAAUAUAAGGGCUUUUUAUACUUGUGUGUUCAAGUAGUACAGUACCUCCUAUGCGGCCAUUAAUGUAUAUGUAUAUAACCUGAAAGAUAGCAGUCCUUGGCUUCAGCCCCCACGCACAUAGUGCGGGGGUGUUUGCAAAAAAGCACAUUUUCACACUUUAUCCAACGUCUUGGUCCUGUGAAGGAGGUGAUAGCGUACCAAACUAGGCAACCGGACUAUAAUUCUUUAUCACUUUCACUUAGCCAUAGGAGUUCGAUGGUGGGGCUACUAUAUAGCCCCUAGGGGCACUGUGCUCUCUCGAAUUCGGGGCGCGUAUGUGCCUGACCGGGAAACGAUCCUUUGUUAAUGCGGAGGAAUUCUAAACAUUCUUGUGAGUCAUCGAGUGGUUGACCAGUCUCAUGCUAUAUCAUGACAGUCAGUUUUCAGCUUUCUCUACUGAGGUGCUCGCCAUGCCGAACCGGGGCACAAUCGCAGUAGUUCUCCUGGUGUCGUGUUAGCCGAUAAAAUGGAACGUAAUGCAGCAAAACACAGGAGCCGGGCAAACCCAACAUUUGACCAAAGACAUGAUUCAGAGCUGAUGCAUAUAAGGCCUAACUCGAGACGCCGAACACUCCCUAAGGUAUUCGGUCUUUAUGAAAACGGGCAGAACAAUGCCCUAAGCCCCUAGUGUCCAGGUACGCGCAAAAAUUUCUGACGCGGCCGAUGCCAAAACACCAGCCUCCUCCUCGGUUAUAGUAAGAAACCGGGGGAUGUGUAUCAACAAGAGACAGUAAGAAAGGUUUACGCAGGGUCUUAAUCUGAAAAGAAUCCUUGCAACGGGUCCCUACUGCAUGUCUGCGCCUGUGUCUCUGUUGUGCCGUAUCCUGGAUGGGUGUAGCACGGUGUUCAUCUGUAAAAGAGAAGAACUUAGUUGGAAAAAAGGAUCGUGCGAAAAAUGUAUAAACAGAGUAUGAUUCAUAAAAUGAAUAAAAUUGAGCCUUAUUGUCUCUUAUUGUACAUGCGUGCAGCCCCUUGUAAGGAGGUACGCGGCUAUUAAGCCCCUUGUUUAUUUAUGCCGGACUCGCCUAACCAUGUCCGGGAUCUGAAUGACCUGUUUAGGUGCUUUGAUCAGCAAAUAUGGAUUAGUGUGUGGCUGUCAAGGCAGUCUCACUUUCUUCUGUAUUCAAGGAACACUCGAAGUUUCCCUUUAAUGAGAUGAUGCCGCGUGGACCGGGCAUUUUGAGUGUAAGAGAUGCAUAAUGCGAUAUUGCGUUAAAGCGGGCGAAAGCUUCACGUCCCAAUAGUGCUUGAUAGCUACUUUUAAAUGGGGCGAAGUGGAAGACUAACUUUUCGCGAUGGAAGUUGUCGGAUGAGCCGAACAUAACUUCUAGUAGUAGAGAGCCCGUACAAUGGGCAUAUGGGCCUGGCAUCACUCCUUUAAAGGAAGUGUUGCUAUGGCGUAUUUUGGUUGGGUCUAUCCCCAUUUUGCGGAUUGUAUCCUGAUAUAGCAGGUUUAGAUCACUGUCGACGUCCAUUAGGACCUGUGUAAAUUGUAGUCCGUCGAUUAUAGGAUUUAAUAUCAAAGCAGUCCAUCCUGCGUUCCGGAUACUUCUGGAGUAAUCCUGAUGGUCGAAAGUGAUUGGUUUUGACAUCCAGUGUCGGGACUCCGCUUGGGUGGACCGUGCGACGCGUACUUUAAUGGGCGCCGCUCUAUUUUUUCCUGUUGUCACUUGAAGUGAGUUUACUGUUUUGACCUCUUGUGGGAAAUUCCUUUGUUUUCUGGUGCUCUGCUUGUGGGGUUCGUCAUCGUCCUCACGUGGUGUGUCGAGCCCCUUGUGUUCGGCAUUAAGUCGGCCGGACUGCUUGAAGACCCAACAAUCUCUGUGGGUGUGGUUUGCAGGCUUCCCGGAGGUACUGUGGAUUUGGCAUAUCUUGUCCAAGAUUUUCUUUAGGUUGGAUAGCUCAUCGCUGUUGUCCUUGAGAGGUAGUUUUUUGUUGUUCUGCCGAGAGCUUUUGAAUCUGGCGUUGACUGUCAUGCUCUUUGGACCAUUUCCCUUAGUCCGGCGCUGGUCCUUGCUGCGUUGUGGUUUCCCAUUUCCAUCCCUGACCUCGGAUGUACUUGGGUCGCUGGUGCUGCAUCUUGCAAGCCAGCUAUCCUCUCCCGCGCAAAAGCGGGUCAUGAGGCUUGUUAGUGCAGCCAUUGUUCUUGGCUUUUCUUGGCCAAGGUGCCUGGCGAGCCAUUCGUCUCGGACGUUGUGUUUGAAAGCUGCUAAGGCUUCGGCGUCCGGACAGUCGACUAUUUGGUUCUUUUUGGUGAGGAACCUGUUCCAGAAUUUGCGGGCUGACUCUCCGGAUUGUUGAGUUAUGUUACUUAAAUCGUCUGCAUCCGGAGGGCGGACAUAAGUCCCUUGAAAAUUUGCCCGAAAAGCGUCCUCGAGCUCUUCCCAACUUCCAAUGGUAUUUUCAGGGAGGCUUUUAAGCCAGUGCUGUGCUGGCCCUUUGAGCUUGAGGGGUAGGUAUUUUAUGGCGUGGAGAUCGUCUCCUCUAGCCAUGUGUAUGUGGAGGAUGUAAUCCUCUAUCCAGACUCCUGGGUUUGUUGUUCCAUCGUAUGCCUCUAUGUUUACGGGUUUAAAUCCCGUUGGGAAUUCAUGAUCCAGCACCUCAUCGGUGAAACAUAGGGGGUGUGCGGCUCCCCUGUAUUUGGGUGUGCCGUGAUGUUCGGAUAUUUGGCGUGUUGCAUUGCUUAAAAGAGCUUGCUUUCUUGGCCCGUAGAUGGACCUAACUGGGCCAUCCUUUUGAUGCGAAUCCUUAUGCGGUUCGCGUGCCGGAUUGUGUGCGGCGCCGCUUGCCGCUCUAUGCUUGUCAUGUGGUCGUCCAUCCGACCGGGCGGCCUCUUUGUUCUUUGGUUGCGGGGGCUCUAAGGCCUCCUCAUCGAAUUCGGGCAGUAGUUUGCGCUUCGGGUAGCUCUUUGUUUGGCGACUGUCGUCGUAUUUGUCUGCGGUGUUGAGUACUUUGCUCCAUCUGAUUUUGAGUGCAUCUUCCGCUCUUUUGAGCGUCCGCUUCUGCUUUUUCAGGCUACGCGCAGUGGCGACGAGCCUUUUGUGGAGGUUCUUCUGCUCCAAAAACUUGUCCGGUGUGAGAUCGUCCGGACUGUUAUUUUCGCCGGGGAUGGGUUGCUUAUCCAAGUUAUCCUGUUCGGAUGGUUGCUCGAGGGCAUGUUCUUUAUCCACCGGUUCGCCCUGCUCUAUGGCUGGGUCUGUAUGGGUGAUGUCGUUGUCGAGGCGGGACUUUGGGCGGCGCUUACAUCGCCGUUUUGACUGUUUUUUGAGGGAAUUAUCCUUCGCAGUGUCCCGUUGUUCCUCGUUAUCGCUUCCUUCAGGUGUAUCCACCAUAUAUACAUCGUGAGUUGAGGUGGCCUUCCAGUGCCCUGUAAGCGCUGGUUCUUGGUCGUCUCCGGCAUCGCCGUCCAUACCGUCGAUGUCUUCGGAGUCGAAGUCUAGCAUGUCGGUUAAGUCGUCGACAGCGGCUACGAAGUGGGUGGUGGGUGGGCUUUGAAUUUCUUCGUCGUCCGCAUCCCAACCGUCCUGACCAUAAUCUGGCCAGGGCUCUCCUGAUAAAGAGAGACACUUUAGCGAAUUCAGGAUGUCGCCAAAAGGUGAGUGCUGAAAGAUGUCCGCAGCGGUGAACUCCAUGAUCGGCGCCUGUCGGUGUCAAAACCGGCGGAUCUCGGGUAGGGGGUCCCGAACUGUGCGUCUAGGCGGAUGGUAACAGGAGACAAGGGACACGAUGUUUUACCCAGGUUCGGUCCCUCUUGAUGGAGGUAAAACCCUAGAAGCUAGCCUAUGGUAUGAUUGUAAUGGUUGUUGUUGUGUCCUACGGACUAGAGCCAUCCGGUUUAUAUAGACACCGGAGAGGGCUAGGGUUACAUAGAGUCGGUUACAAUGGUAGGAGAUCUACGUAUCUGUAUCACCAAGCUUGCCUUCCACGCCAAGGAAAGUCCCAUCCGGACAUAGGACGAAGUCUUCAAUCUUGUAUCUUCAUAGUCUUGGAGUCCGGUCGAUGAUGAUAGUCCGGCCGAUGAUAGUUCGGCUGAUGAUGGUAGUCCGGCUAUCCGGACACCCCCUAAUCCAGGACUCCCUCAGUAGCCCCUGAACCAGGCUUCAAUAACGAUAAGUCCGGCGCGUAUAUUGCUUGGCAUUGCAAGGCGGGUUCCUCCUCCAAAUGAUAGAAGAUUGUGAACACCAGGAUAGUGUCCGGCUCUGCAAAAUAAAUUCCACAUUCCACCGUAGAGAGAAUAAUAUAUACACAAGUUCAAUCUGCUGACGUUUUUUGCGGCAUGACGUCACGCCACUACCAAGCCAUUACUUGAAUCGUUUUUUACUCUACCACCUCAGCGCAUUUAGCGAAGCGGUUUCCUUGGCACGUCUUGUCGAAGCAGAGAUCGUGUUCCCCCUUAAUCCGGGAUUCUCAUCAAUACGGAUGUGGGUAACCCAACCGCGCCAUUGAUGGUGACGCUUGGGGGGUAAGCGAGUUUUACCAGGCCAGUGGGGGACGCAUAGACUUCGCCCGCCCAUAUAAGGGAUAAGGAUUCACCUUUUCACCUACGCCUUCUUCCUCCUUUGCUUAUCCAUCUCUGCGCACUCGAGCUCCAGCGCCCAAGCCCGCACAUCUCGUCUCAACCUUCCCCAGUCAUGUCUGGAGCGGGAGGCAAGUGGAUGGCCUCCUCCGUUGCGGAGGAGCACAUCGAAAGACUGAGCAGCGCCGGCUACCUGUCCGGUGACAUCGCGCACCGGCUGCCCGACGAGGGGCAGCUCAUUCCCACCCCCAGGCCCCAUGAGAGGGUCGUUUUUCUUCCCCACUUCCUCCGCGGACUGGGCUUUCCACUUUACCCCUUUAUCCGAGGGCUCAUGUUCUACUACGGCCUGGAUUUCCAUGAUCUGGCGCCGAACUUCAUCCUCAACAUCUCGGCGUUUAUCGUCGUGUGCGAGGCCUUCCUCUGCAUCCAGCCCCACUUCGGCUUGUGGCUCAAGACCUUCAAUGUCAAGCCGAAGGUAGUGAAGGGCACUCAAGCGGAGUGCGGAGGCGCCAUGUUGGGCAAGAUGCCCAACGUCCUUUGGUUCGAAGGGGCCUUCGUGGAAUCCGUCAAGGGGUGGCAAUCGGGGUGGUUCUAUAUCACCGAGUCGCGUGACCCUACGUGGGCGGCGGCCCCCGAGUUCAGAUCUGGUAUCCCCACGCAGCUCACCUCCUGGAAAGAGAAGGGCUUGCUGUGGGGUAGUUCGGAGGAGUUGACGGGACUCCAAGCCUGUAUCCAGAAGCUGGUGAAGAAGCUCAGGCUGGUUAACAUGGUCCAAGUCAUGCUCGUCCGCCGGAUUCUCCCAUGCCAAGAGCGGGCAUUCAAUCUGUGGGAGUUCGAUCCGGAACAGCACCAGGCGCUGAGCGAGCUCUUCGACACGAUGUACGAAGGCGCCUGGAGGGUGCUGUUUAAGGGCGCCGAAGCCCCCGCAUCCGCGACUGAAGAUCAUGGAUUUCGCUCGCAGCGCCAAGCCGACGAGGUAAGUGAUUCUACCCCUUUACGGGACACUUGCUUUUCAUACUUUGACUCUAUGCGGGUUUUAAUUUCCCCUUUUCCUUUGACAGGACUGGAUGAGGAAGGCGGAGCAGAUUAUCUGCCCGGCUCCUAUGCCAGAAAACCCAGUAGACGCCCGUCUAGCGAGGUUGCUGGUUCCGGCACCGCACGUGGUGCCGGAGAAGAAGGCCAAGAAGGAGGCCACGGGUGCUCGAAAGAGUUCCCGUUUUCAGGUGUCCGACGACUCCGGGGCGGACUCCUCCCCCGAAAACGAGGAGGAGAAAGAGGAUUCUCUCCCAGAGGAGGGAGAGAGGAAGAGGAAGGCUUCCCCAACAGGGGAGGCCGAAGGGUCCAAGAGGGGAAGGACUAUUCCCCCGGACAGCUCCGCCAACAUCAACGUUGGCGAGGAAGAAUGGCCUUCAAGGGCCAGGCCUCCGGCGAGAUCGUAAGUAUCCGGAUUCCUGAAUGAUUUAUAAUUUCUUUUUCUGCGUCACAUAGUGUCAUUCUGAUGCCGCAUGCUGCCUGUAGUCCGGCCAAUGAUGAUCUCCCCGCUUCAUUGAGCGGGUCGUUGGCUCCGUCGAAUGUAGACUCCAUCCCGACCGCCUCCACCCCUCGCGACACCGAGGACGCCGAGGUGGGAUCCCAAGAAGGGACCCAUCAGGGGGAGGCUCCGGAGGCGCCACAAGGCGGCCUCCCGGACUUUGCGCCGGACUCCACAUCAGAACCCGCAGUGGUUCCGGAGUCCGGCCGGCGGCCCCUUCGCACGAAGGGCAAGACCAUGACGCCGGCGGCUUCCGUCCAACGGGAGGCGCCGGACAAUUUGUUGGAGGCGCUCUAGAGCGCUUCCAUCGAGGAAGAACACCGUACUAUUAUGAGUGUGGUGAUUCAGAAGGUACAGCUUGCCAAGAGCGGGCUGACCGAAGCCUGCAGUAGCCUUCUAUCAGGCUUUGAGGCAAGAAGUUAAAAAUAUGAAAUGUAAUACCGCAUAGACAGUAGCCCCUGAUGCUCGGUUUGGUGUUCGGAAAGAAAAGCCGGACUGAGGAUCUGAAAAAAAAAGAAGAUAUACGCAGGGUUGCUAAAAAAAUUAUGUCAAUAUGGGUUGUAGGUUGCGCUGCUGACCUGUGCCGCACUGACUGCGGAGGUCGGUGCUUUGAAGCAGGAGCUCGAGCGGUCCGAGCUCGCCAAGAAGCAGCUCCAGGACAAAGAAGGUGAGUAACACCACUUUGAACUUGUACCUUACAGAAAAGGAUUUAGGUUGCAACAAAAAAUAACAAGGAUAACAUGGGUACUGCAGGGGCCACGAACGAGGUGGCGACCCUGAAGGAGGCCGUGUCCGCGGCCGAACACAAUGCGGCCGCGGAAUGGGCAGAGCGAGAAAAGCAGGAGGCGCGGGUGGCGGUGGUUCGGCAAGAGCUCCAGGCUCUCAUGGAAAAGCAUGAGAGUUUGGAGCGUGACUCAAAGACUUGAGAGUCCGAGCUUGCCUCGGCUUUCGAAAGUGCCAAAACUGCCAAGGCUGAUCCCCAUAAGUCCCUUCAGGAGAUUGAGUUGCUGAGGAAGAUAGCGGCGGGUAAGGCAUUUUUCAUGCAAACCAAGCAUGUGAAUGUAAAUUACGUGUUACUUACCCGAAUUCGGAGCUCUCCAGGGGCGUUCGCAGAUCUGCCUCGCAGUGUGUCUGAUGCCGCCGUAUUCUACCGAGCCGAGGAGGGGAGCUCAACAGAGAAGGUCUUCUGGUCUCAGUAUGCUGAGGCCGGCCAUCCGGUGCCCCCUAGCGACCAGCUGAAGCAGCUGGUUGAGCUCCACAAGGUGGCCGAGCAGGCCAUGAAGGGCCUCAUAGUCUGGCUGUGGCCUGGAGAGGCCAUGCCUGGGAGCUACUUCGGCCUCGUGCGACGGUUGGUGGAUGCGUGCCCCUGGGUGGAGGUUAUCAAGCGCUCUGCCUGUAUUGAAGGUGCUCGUUGGGCUCUUGCCCGCGCAAAGGUGCAUUGGGGCAAGCUGGAUGCGGAGAAGCUAAUCACUGACGCGCCACCAGCGGGCAAGGAAUAUCGUACGCCCGAGAUGUACUAUAAGACUGUCCUGAAGGGUGCCCGGAAGAUUGCGGAUGAGUGCCCCAGGGAUGUAAUUAUUGAGUAAAUUCGCAAUGUGUUAUCCUGUGCGCUGAAAACUUUGUUCAUAUGCGCUAAGCAACGCUUGUUAAUUUAAAAUAUUACCUUCUGUGCGGCCGUUUAUUAAAUCUGAGAGAUGGCAAGUCGUCGGCUUCAGCCCCCAUGCCACGAGUGCUGGGGUGUUCGGGAUAAACUUGAGCACUCUUGUUCCCAUUUUUGGGUCCAUCUAGGGAGGCGCUCAACACAAUGAACAAGGCAACCGGACUUAUAGUGCUUGAACACUCUCACUUAGCCAUAGAAUUCUAUAAUUUUAAAUUUCGGCGAAGCCCCUAGUAUUCGGAAGACCGAAUUCGGGGCGCUAUCCAUGCCUUCGUCGGACAUUAUCCGGUACUUCGCUCGAAGCGGCGUAGGUCUUUAAGGACCCGAAAAGACCUCUCGAACAGCGACCAGUCUCUCGCCUUAUCAUGACAGUCAGUUUUAGCUUUCUCCACUGAGGCGUUAACCCGGCUCAACCGGGGCGAUAUCGCAGUGGUUCUCCCAGUGCUACCUUAGCCGAUAGAACGGAACGUAAGGUGCCAAACAUGGGAGCCGGGCAAACCCAACUAUUGACCCAAGACAUGAUUCGGAGCCGAUUCAUAUAAUGCUAUAAGUUCGGGGUGCCGCACUUGUGAAAGUGUUCGGACUUUAUCACACCAUAAUGCGGGGAACAUAAGCCCCUGGUGUAUUUGGCCGUACCAAAAUGUACGGGUGCAACAUGUCGUAAAUGAACAUAUAUAUAUAAGCUAAUGCAAUUAUGGGCAAAAGGUGCUGCAUUUUAUUCGAGAAGAUCUGCUAUGAGUGCGGAAUGAUACAAAUAGUGCGGAAAGCAAGGGAUUGGACGAAUUAAAGGCGUCUCCCUCCAGGGGUAGGCCGCGGAAUGGUGUAUUUAACAAAUUUAAUGCUCGUAAUGGAGACCACUUGAGUGUUCGUCGCAGCCUUUGUCCCUCCCUGGCUGUUGCAUCAUGAGUUCGGCAGGUUUGCCGCCGGACAGAGUUCUGUAUAAAAAAGAGAGAAAUAAAAGAUAAAAAGAGCGACACGCUUGGGAGCCCCUAGUGUGGUCGAACCGCACUCUGGGUCUGUUGUGGUUGUGCCUCUCCCCCUAUGCCCAUGGUAUCUCCAAGGCGUAAUUAUGUACGCGGAGAGUUUGUCUUGCAAUUGUGCGAGGGCUGGAGUUGAGGCCGCAUUGCUACGCGUGCUCGGAACGUGCCAGGUGGUCUUGGUUGAUGUUGCUCUGGGCGUGUUUGGCCGUGUCCGGUCGUUUAACGGCCGGACUCGAAAAUUGCCUUAAAAGGCUGCUCUGUACUUCUGCCGCGAGAGCCGCUGUAUGUUCCUCCGUUCGAAGGGAGCCUGGACUGUGAUGACUCCACGAGGGCCUGGAAUCUUGAGCUUAAGGUAUGCAUAAUGCGGCACUGUGUUGAAUUUUGCGAACGCGGUUCGUCCGAGCAGAGCGUGAUAGCCACUGCGGAACGGGACUAUGUCGAAGAUUAACUCCUCGCUUCGGAAAUUAUCCGGGGAUCCGAAGACCACUUCCAGUGUAACUGAGCCUAUACAACUGGCCUCGACACCUGGUAUGACGUCUUUGAAGGUUGUCUUUGUAGGUUUAAUCCUUGAAGGGUCUAUGCCCAUCUUGCGCACUGUAUCCUGAUAAAGCAGGUUCAGGCUACUGCCGCCAUCCAUCAGGACUCUCGUGAGGUGAAAUCCAUCGACGAUUGGGUCUAAAACCAAUGCGGCGAAUCCGCCAUGGCGGAUACUGGUCGGAUGGUCUCUUCGAUCGAAAGUGAUCGGGCAAGAGGACCAUGGGUUGAAUUUUGGGGCGACUGGCUCCGUCGCGUAUACGUCCCUUAGUGCACGCUUCCGCUCCCUCUUGGGUAUAUGCGUUGCGUAUAUCAUGUUUACCGUCCGAACUUGAGAGGGGAAUCCCUUUUGUCCUCUGUUGUUCGGCGGCCGGGUCUCUUCCUCGUCAUCGCUGUGUAGCCCCUUGUCAUUGUUUUCGGCGAUUAAUUUGCCUGCCUUCUUGAAUACCGAACAAUCUCUGUUGGUGUGGUUAGCUGGCUUUUCGGGGGUUCCAUGUAUUUGACAGGAGCGGUCGAGUAUUCGGUCCAAAUUGGACGGGCCCGGAGUGGUUCUUUUGAAUGGCUUCUUCCGUUGACCGAGCUUGGAGCCUCAGAAUCUGGCGUUGACUGCCGUAUCCUCAUUGCUGUCGCCGUUAAUGCGGCGUUUGUUUUUGUUUCGACGCGACCUGCCAUUGCGGUCCUUGGUAUCCGGACUGCCAGCGUUUUUGCUGAGGUUGUUGCUGCGAGCUAGCCAGCUAUCCUCUCCUACACAGAAGCGGGUCAUGAGUGAUGUGAGGGCUGCCAUGGAUUUCGGCUUUUCCUGUCCUAGGUGCCGGGCCAGCCACUCGUCGCGGAUGUUAUGUUUGAAGGCAGCGAGGGCCUCUGCAUCCGGACAGUCGAUGAUUUGAUUUUUCUUUGUUAAGAACCGUGUCCAGAAUUGCCUGGCCGAUUCGUCUGGCUGCUGGAUUAUGUGGCUUAGGUCAUCUGCGUCCGGUGGUUGCACAUACGUGCCCUAGAAGUUGUCGAGGAAUGCGGCUUCCAGGUCUUCCCAGCAUCCAAUUGACUCUGCGGGCAGGCUGUUAAGCCAAUGCCGAGCUGGUCCUUUAAGCUUGAGCGGGAGAUAUUUGAUGGCGUGAAGAUCGUCGCUGCGGGCCAUAUGUAUAUGGAGGAGAUAAUCCUCAAUCCAAACCGCGGGGUCUGUUGUGCCAUCAUAGGAUUCGAUAUUAACGGGUUUAAACCCUUCAGGGAUUUGAUGAUCCAUUACUUCGUCAGUGAAGCAUAGUGGGUGCGCGGCUCCUCUGUAUUGAGCAAUAUCGUGACGUAGCUCGAUAGAGCGUUGUCUACUGUGUUCGGCCCGGCUGGAGUAGUUGUAUCCGGCGUGACGGUAUUCGUCGUGGGUCUUGGGGCGCCCACGUGAUCCAUAGAUAGAUCUGGAUUGUCUUGCCUUGUCCUCCAAUAUAUCCCGCAAGUCCAGUGCGUUCCCCCGUGGCUUCAUGCUUCUUGAGCGAUGCCGGGGUACAGUUUUGGUGGAGGGCUUGCAUGCCUCUCUGUCGCGGCCACGAGGUGGUCGGUCUGCCGUAUUGUGCGCUGGUGAUGCAGGUUUGUACGCUUCCUCCUCUAGUCAGGGGAGCAACUUGCGUUUUGGGUAACUUUUGGAGGGGCGUUCGAGUUCAUACUCUUCGGCCGCGAGGACCUCGGUCCAUCUGUCGGCCAGCAGGUUUUGAUCAGCUUGAAGCUAUUGCUGCUUUUUCUUUAGGCUGUUUGCCGUGGCCAUUAACCUGCGUCUGAAACGCUCUUGUUCGACGGGAUCCUCAGGCACGACGAAUUCGUCGUCGUCGAGGCUUGCCUCGUCUCCGGAGGGAGGUAAGUAAUUAUCAUCCUUGACCUCUUCGUCUACCGCCCUCUCGUGAGGGCUUGCUUCUGCCUCCUCCUGCACUGGAUCGUGCUGGAGGGGGUUGUCUUCGGCACUUUCUGGGGUGUUAUUAUCUCCUGUGCCGGAAUCUCUAUUCUUGCUGUGGCGGGAUUUAGAGCGGCGCCGCUGACGUCGGCACUUGGGCUGUUUCUUUAAGGAAUCGGCCUCCGUUGCUUCUUCGCCGUCCCCAUCUUUUAGGGUGUCCACCAUGUAUAUGUCGUAUGACGAGGUGGUCUUCCAGUGUCCUAUAGGCACUAGUUCUUGAUAGUCUCUAGCAUCGUUGUCCAUACCGUUGAUGUCUUCGGAGUCGUAGUCGAGUACGUCGGUUAGAUCGUCGAUGGUGGCUACGAAGUGGGUGGUGGGUGGGCCUGAAUUUCUUCGUCGUCCGCGUCCCAACCAUCCUGGCCGUAGUUCGGCCAGGGCUCUCCAGAUAGCGAGAGAUGCUUCAGCGAAUUUAGGAUAUCGCCGAAGGGUGAGUGCUGAAAGGUGUCCGCAGCGGUGAAUUCCAUGAUCGGCGCCCAAUCGGAUUCGACUGGUAGAGGCGCAGGAGGUUCGGAGUCCGGCAGAGAGUCCGGCACCUCGGAGUCAUGAGCUUUAUGCGGGACAAGGUAAGUGUUCGGCUCCGUCGCCGUAGAAGUUGCAGCUCCUGAGGCAGUGUCCAGCCAUCCGUCCCCGAUCUGUGCGGUCAGCUCCGGACUAUGGGUUGGAGCGGAUUCGUGUGCGGCCUCCAAGGUGCUGUCCGGCGGCAGAGUUGGGUCGUGCCCAUCGUGACAGCGCGGCACGCUCGGCUGUGGCUCAGAUCCAUUGAAGAUCAAGUCCCUGCGGAUAUCGGCCGUGAAGUUUAGGCUUCCAAACCUGACCUGACGGCCAGGGGCGUAGCUUUCGAUCUGCUCUAGAUGGCCAAGUGAGUUGGCCCGCGGUGUGAAACCGCCGAAUACGAAGAUCUGUCCGGGGAGAAAAGUCUCACCUAGGACUGUGUCGUUGUCCAUUGAAGAGGCCAUCAAGCCUAUCGGUGACGACACAGAGGAACUCUCAAUGAAAGCACCAAUGUCGGUGUCAAAACCGGCGGAUCUCGGGUAGGGGGUCCCGAACUGUGCGUCUAGGCGGAUGGUAACAGGAGACAAGGGACACGAUGUUUUACCCAGGUUCGGGCCCUCUUGAUGGAGGUAAAACCCUAGAACCUAGCCUAUGGUAUGAUUGUAAUGGUUGUUGUUGUGUCCUACGGACUAGAGCCAUCCGGUUUAUAUAGACACCGGAGAGGGCUAGGGUUACAUAGAGUCGGUUACAAUGGUAGGAGAUCUACGUAUCCGUAUCGCCAAGCUUGCCUUCCACGCCAAGGAAAGUCCCAUCCGGACACGGGACGAAGUCUUCAAUCUUGUAUCUUCAUAGUCUUGGAGUCCGGUCGAUGAUGAUAGUCCGGCCGAUGAUAGUUCGGCUGAUGAUGGUAGUCCGGCUAUCCGGACACCCCCUAAUCCAGGACUCCCUCAGCGCCCAAUCAGAUUCGAUUGGCAGGGGCGCGGAAGGUUCGGGGUCCAGAGAGGAGUCCGGCACCUUGGAGUCAUGAGCUUCACAAGGGACAGGGUCGGUAUUCGGCUCUAUCACCGUAGAAGUAGAAGCCCCCGAGGCGGUAUCCAGCCACCCAUCCUCGAUCGGCGUAGUCGGCUCCGAGCUAAGGGUCGGAGCGGACUCUUGUGCGGCCUCCAGGGCACUAUCCGGUAGCAGAGCUAGAUCAUGCCCAUCGUGACAGUGCGGCGCGCUCGGCUGUGGCUCGAAUCCGUCGAAGAUCAACUCUCCGCGGAUGUCAGCCGUAUAGUUCAAACUUCCAAAUCUGACCUGAUGGUCAGGGGCGUAGCUUUUGAUCUGCUCCAGAUGGCCAAGUGAAUUGGCCCGUAGUGCAAAGCCGCCGAAUACGAAGAUCUGUUCGGGGAGAAAAGUCUCACCCUGGACCGUGUUGUUGUGAUUGAUCGAAGGAGCCAUCGGGCCUAUAGGUGACGGCACAGAGGAACUCUCAAUGAAAGCACCAAUGUCGGUGUCAAAACCAGCGGAUCUCGGGUAGGGGGUCCCGAACUGUGCGUCUAGGCGGAUGGUAAUAGGAGACAAGGGACACGAUGUUUUUACCCAGGUUCGGGCCCUCUCGGUGGAGAUAAAAACCUACUCCUGCUUGAUUAAUAUUGAUGAUAUGGGUAGUACAAGAGUAGAUCUACCACGAGAUAAAGGAGGCUAAACCCUAGAAGCUAGCCUAUGGUAUGAUUGUUUUUCGUCCUAAGGACUAAAACCCUCCGGUUUAUAUAGACACCGGAGAGGGUUAGGGUUACACAGAGUCGGUUACAAUGGUAGGAGAUGUACAUAUCCGUAUUGCCUAGCUUGCCUUCCACGCCAAGGAAAGUCCCAUCCGGACACGGGACGAAGUAUUCAAUCUCGUAUCUUCAUAGUCUAGGAGUCCGGCCAACGGUGAUAGUUCGGCUAUCCGGACACCCCCUAAUCCAGGACUCCCUCACUCGUGCUCGGUUAAGGCGGACCCCUGGGCGGUCGAGCGUAGAGGGUGGGUCCGAGCACAAGGCCGGAUCUGGAGUAAUGGCCCAGUUGGCAGCGGGGUAAGCCAAAACUGAAGCCGAAGCCUCAGAGUUUGUGGGUCCUUAGUGUGGAGCCGAGAACCCCGCGAGGACUAGAUCUCCCCGGGGGUCGGUGAAGAACUCUAGGUUUCCAAACUUGAUCUCCUCACUGAGGGCUAAGCCAUCAAUCUGGCCGAGAUGGACGGUCGGAUCAGCGUGUAGCAUGAUGCUGCUGAACGCGAAGAGCUGGCCGGGAACGAAGACAUCCCCGUUGCGGAUGCUAUUGCUGAUGACGAGGCAAGCCAUUGAUCCUUGAUGAUCCUCCAACAAAACCCUCCAUGAAAGCACCAAUGUCGGUGUCAAAACGGGCAGAUCUUGGGUGGGGGGUCCCGAGCUGUGGAUCUUGGAUCGAUGGGUAACAGGGAACAUAGAGACAACGUUUACCCAGGUUCGGGCCCUCUCAAAGAGGUAAAACCCUACGUUCUGCUUGAUUGUAUUGAUGUGUCCGUAUGACAAUUACAGAGUUGAUCUAGCGCGACAUUGGAUGAACUAAACCCUAGGUGGGUAUGAUGAUAAUGGUUGGCCUCUCCACGGAAUGACCCUCUGGUUUAUAUAGACACCAGGGGUACCUAGCACUACUAGGGAAAACCUUAUACACAGAAGUUUAUCAGCAACGCGGUUUAAAAAUGGGCGCUACUGCUAAUUAGUAGUAGCGAGGGGUAUAAAAACCAUGCUACUACUAACUUGAUAGUAGUAGCGAGGGGUAUAAACCCGUGCUACUACUAAAUGGUCUCCAACAAUGCCCCUGAGAUAGGUCAUAGUAGUAGCGAGGGGUAUAAAACCGGCGCUACUACUAAGUAAGUAGUAGUAGCGCAGGUAAGACCCCCACGCUACUACUAAACGUGUCCACCCCGACCCGAUCCACCACCUCCCACCCCACCAACCGUCCCACACCACCCACUCCCGUCUGUCUCAAAAAAAAAUAGGUAGCCCGAUCCAGAUCCCCAACCUUCUCUCCUCUCCCAACCCACUCACCGUUGGCCUCCCUUCCACCUCCUCUCCUCCGUCCGUCCGCCCCNNNNNNNNNNNNNNNNNNNNNNNNNNNNNNNNNNNNNNNNNNNNNNNNNNNNNNNNNNNNNNNNNNNNNNNNNNNNNNNNNNNNNNNNNNNNNNNNNNNNNNNNNNNNNNNNNNNNNNNNNNNNNNNNNNNNNNNNNNNNNNNNNNNNNNNNNNNNNNNNNNNNNNNNNNNNNNNNNNNNNNNNNNNNNNNNNNNNNNNNNNNNNNNNNNNNNNNNNNNNNNNNNNNNNNNNNNNNNNNNNNNNNNNNNNNNNNNNNNNNNNNNNNNNNNNNNNNNNNNNNNNNNNNNNNNNNNNNNNNNNNNNNNNNNNNNNNNNNNNNNNNNNNNNNNNNNNNNNNNNCCCGCCGCUCCCCGUCUCGCCCCGCUGCCCGCCCCUGCCCACCUCCGCCGCGCACGUGCCCGCCCGCCGCGGCGCCAGCUCCUCCUCCGAUACGGCAUGCCGCUGCACCGCGACCUCCUCGCCUGCGGCAUCAGGGUCGGCAUGGGACUGGACCCACUGGAGCCGGCACUUCGCGGAGGUGGACCGGGCCGACAGCUACGCGCCCGUGCUGCGCUUCUAGCUGGAGGAGGCCGUGGAGGCCGAGGACUUCACCGAGGCCGCCGCCCUCAAGCGCGCCCUCCUUGACGCCACCGCCGCCGAUGCCGUCUCCCGCGUCAUGGCCGAUGUCGGUGUCAAAACUGGCGGAUCUCGGGUAGGGGGUCCCGAACUGUGCGUCUAGGCGGAUGGUAAAAAGAGACAAGGGACACGAUGUUUUUACCCAGGUUCGGGCCCUCUCGGUGGAGGUAAAACCCUACUCCUGCUUGAUUGAUAUUGAUGAUAUGGGUAUUACAAAAGUUGAUCUACCUCGAGAUCAGAGAGGCUAAACCCUAGAAUCUAGCCUAUGGUAUGAUUGUUGUCUAUCCUACGGACUAAAACCCUCCGGUUUAUAUAGACACUGGAGAGGGCUAGGGUUACACAGAGUCGGUUACAAUGGGAGGAGAUCUUGAUAUCGUAUCGCCAAGCUUGCCUUCCACGCCAAGGAAAGUCCCUAUCCGGACACGGGACGAAGUCUUCAAUCUUGUAUCUUCAUAGUCCGGGAGUCCGGCCAAAGGUCAUAGUCCGGCCAUCCAGACACCCCCUAAUCCAGGACUCCCUCAGUAGCCCCUGAACCUGGCUUCAAUGAUGACUAGUCCGGCGCGCAAAUUGUCUUCGGCAUUGCAAGGCGGGUUCCUCCUCUGAAUUCUUCGUAGAAGAUGUUUGAACACAAGGAUACUGUCCGUCUCUGUAAAAAUAAGUUCCACAUACCACUGUAGAGAGAAUAAUAUAUGCACAAAUCUAAUCUGCUGACGUAUUCCGCAACGUGACAUCAUGCCAUGGUCAAGCCUUUAUUCGAAUCGUUUUACUGUUCCACCUUAGCAUGUUUAGCGAGGCGGUUUCCUUGGCACGUCUUGUCGAAGCAGAGAUCGUGUCCCCUUAUUCCGGGAUUCUCAUCAAUACAAGUGUGGGUAACCCAACCGUGCCUUUUGGUAUGACUCUCUAAUUGAAAGCGAGUCCCAAACGGUUACGGGGAGGGCUCUUGGCAUUCAACUCCUUUAUAAAGAGACCAAGGCUCGACUCCCUUUUCUUUCAAUUGAAUCCGCCUCUCGCCUCGAGUUCCAACACUCAAAGCUUCUAGUUUUAGGCACUUCGGACUUUCGACGAUGUCCGGUUCCGACCUUCAAGGCCGGUGGGUGCCUUCCUCUAUUACGGAAGAGCACAUGAGAAAGCUGAGAGAUGCCAGGUAUCUAACCGGCAAAAUCUCGCAUAGGUUGCCUGCUCAAGGGCAGGCCAUUCCUUCUCCCCAGCCCGGUGAGAGUGUGGUGUUCGCAUCUCACUUCCUUCGGGGGCUAGGCUUCCCGAUUGAUCCCUUCGUGAGGGGGCUGAUGUUCUAUUACGGGUUGGAAUUCCACGACCUAGCUCCGGAGUCCAUCCUCCAAAUUUCAUCAUUCAUUGUUGUGUGCGAAGCCUUCCUCCAUAUCACCCCUCACUUCGGAUUGUGGCUCAAAACCUUCAAGGUGGAGCCGAAGAUGAUCGAGGGGCAGAACACUGAGUGCGGAGGAGCUAUCAUAAGCAAGAUAGCCGGCGCUCCAUGGCCCGAGGGCACUUUCGAAGAAGAGUUCGGCUUAUGGCAACGGGACUGGUUUUACAUCACAGCCCCCAGGGGCACCACAUGGGUGGCGCCGCCUGCUUUUCGCUCGGGUCCACCACCACGGUGAGCGUCAUGGGUCAAUGAAGGGCUUAUCUGGGGACCGCCCAAAGACGUGCCCCUUCUGCAGGACCGCAUUCGAGAUCUCCUAGAAAGAGAUAUUAACUUGACCGUGGUGGCGCAAGUUAUGCUGAUUCGCCGCACGCUGCCCUGCAAACAUCGCCCUCUUCUCUUGUGGGAAUUUAAUCCGAAGGGACCACGAGUCCUUCAACACUUUAUGGGCGUGACACCCAUGGAGAUGUACAAAUUGUUCUUCGGACCACAAGCAAGGUGUCCGGACUUGUCCGAGGACACAGGCCUGAGCGGUAAUCGCCAGGAUGCUAAGGUAAGUAGCCCCGUGUUUGGACACACCGUCCGUAUUUUUAUUAUAAAGUUGCCCUUUAACAGAGCUAUCCUUUGAACAGGAGUGGAUAGCGAAGGCAAAGCUUAUCAGGUGUCCAGCCCCCCUGCCCGAGACCGUGCCGGAUCCUGUGUUAACCAGGAUGCUGGAGAUUACGCCUUCGGCAGAGGGCGAAGAGGGGAACCAAGGAGCUACUGCCUCCAUGAAGGAGACUGUCAGGAAGGAAGGAAUCGAGGAUCCCCCCAACCUGGGAAAGAAAAGAAGUGCCUCUUAAGACCCGAAGGGGAUAGCCUCGAAACGGGGGAAGAAAUCUUUGUCAGAGGAUCCGGCGCCGGAGACUGCCCCGGCCGCAUUGCGCCCUCAAGGGGAUCAGUUUUCCUCUGAGCCGUAAGUAAAGAGAGGGAUUCAAAAAUUAGUGGUAUCCCUGUUUUAUUUCUGAGGAAGAUAACCAAAAUAUUACCUUGCAGUUCGGACCUCAGCCCUUCUCAGUAGAGCUCGUCUUCGGGGGAUCUUCGUCCGGAAAUGAUGGAGAGCGAAACGCCUCCCCUAGCUGCACCUAUUUACGAGUCAGGCGACCCCGAGGUGUCAUCCCGGCGGGUUUCUCCAAGUCCGGAUCCUGAAAAAGGUCGUCGGGCUAGUCCGGUGCCCUCUGGUGCACGGUCGGAGAGGCUGAAGGAUCUGCUUGGGCGAGCGUCCGUCUCAGAAGAACACCGUAUGUUGAUGAACAUGGUGAUAGGAAGGAUUUCAUCCGCGGAAAGCGGGUUGUACGAGGCCGCCAGGAGUUUACUGAUAGGCUUUAAGGUACGUGAAAAAGGUGUACCUUUUGGUAGAGCCGCAUAAAAUGCGCCCUGUAUAAAUAGUAGCCCCUGAGACUCUGUGUGUCGUCAAGAAUGAUGGGGCACAAAGGAUCAAAACCCCAGGUAUAAAAUGUCACGUUUUUAUGAAGGUGGCGAGGCGUUCGGUGGCUAGCCGGACUGAUGAAUCUGUCGAACUAAAGCGGCAACUUGACGUGGCGGAUGCCGACAUCACGCUUGUAAAUAAGCGGCUAGACGAGGCACAAGGUAUGCUCCACAAAUAUCUGAUAAGAGGAGUUUGAUGCUUGUGCCUUACAAUAUAUGUGCUUAUUGCAGAUAGUGCUGCUGCCAUGGAGAACCUGCGGGCAGAACUUGCCCGAGCCAAGGAGCAAGCAAGGAAAAGUGAUGCGGCUGCCGUUAAGGCGGCUGAAGAGCUAAAAGCCGAACAGGCUGCUCACUGCCAGAGUAAGAAGGCGAUAGCUGAGACGGCUAUAAAAUUGAAGGAUGUUGCCGACCGCUAUAACUUUCUCGAACAAGAAGGAAGGGCGGCUCAGGAGGACCUUGAGAAGAUCACUACCGAGGCCAAGGAUACUCGCUCUGCAAUGAGAGCUAUGAAGGAGGAGCUGCGUCAGGCCAGAGAUAUCACGGCUGGAAAGCCCUAUCUGUUGCGGAUGAAGUUCGGGGACCUGAGGUAUGCUCCAUUAGACCGGCAGUGGAGUGCGGAAAACGCUUAUCUGGAUGUGGCAGCGAGUGCAGCAGAUGCAACCGAACACUUCCGAGGUUGAGGUGACCAUAAAUUGGAGGAACUUUUUUGGUCGCAGUUACACAAUCCGGAGCGCCCACUUUCGGUAUCCGACCGUUUGGCCGCCUUUGCGAAGCUGAACAGGUUAUCCGGACUCACCAUGAAGUAUCUUGCGAGUCGUUUGUGGCCAGGGGAGCCAGAGCCGAAGAGUUAUUUUGGAUUGGUGCAGCAGUUCCUUGGUUUUGUGCCGCAUGUUGAUGCGAUGAAGAGGUCGGCGUGCAUAGAGGGUGCACAAAUGGCUCUUGCCCGUGUCAAAACAUACUGGGCGGAUAUGAAGGCCAAUAUUGUUGCAUCCCGGGAUUCGGGCGAAGGCCGAGUACCUGCCAAGCACUUCUUUGAGGAAGUUCUUCCGGGCGCUCGUUUAAUAGAAGCGCAGUGCUCGAAGGAUGUAGUGUUCGAAUAGCAUGUGCUAUUGUAAAAGGAAUAUAUGUUGAUAGAAUAUAAAAGCUUUUUAUACUUGUGCUUGCAAGAAUUAUAAUGCCUCCUGUGCGGCCGUUUUUAAUGUAUAUGUGUAUAUAACCUGAAAGAUGGCAGUCAUUGGCUUCAGCCCCCACGCAUAUAAUGCGGGGGUGUUCGCAAAAAGGCGCUUUUUCACACUUAAUCCAACGUCUUGGUCCUACAAAGGAGGUGAUAGCGUGGCAAACUAGGCAACCAGACUGUAAUGCUUUAUCAUUUUCACUUAGCCAUAGGAGUUUGACAGUGGGGCUACUUAAUAGCCCCCAGGGGCACCGCGCUCGCCCGAAUUCGGGGCACGUGUGUGCCUGACCGGGAAGCGGCCCUUCGUUAAUGCGGAGGAAUCCUAAAGAUUCCGAGAGUCAUCGAGUGGUUGACCAGUCUCUCGCUAUAUCAUGACAGUCAGUUUUCGGCUUUCUCUACUGAGGUGCUCGCCUGGCCGAACCGGAGCACAAUCACAGUAGUUCUCCUGGUGCCGCUUUAGCCGAUAGAGCGGAACGUAAGGCAGCAAAACACAGGAGCCGGGCAAAACAAACAUUUGACCAAAGACAUGAUUCGGAGCUGAUGCAUAUAACGCCAAACUCGCGAUGCCGAACACUCCCUAAGGUAUUCAGUCUUUAUGAAGACGGGCCGAAACGAAGCCCUUGGUAAAAAAGCCCCUGGUGUCCAGGUACGCGCAAAAUUCUGGCGUGGCCACAUGCCAAGACGCCAGCCUCCUCCUCGGUUAUAGCGAAAACCGGUGGAUGUUGUCAACAAGAGAUAGUAAAAAAGGUUUACGCAGGGUCUUAAUCCAAAAAGAAUCCUUGAAACGGAUCCCUACUGCACGUCUGCGCCUGUGUCUCUGUUGUGCCGUAUCCUGGACGGGCGUAGCACGGUGUUCGUUUGCGAGAAAGAGGAACUUUAGUAAACAAAAAAUAAACAUGCGAGAAAUCUAUAUUAGAAUAAACAAAAUAUAGUUGGGGCAAGAAGUGAGCCGUAUUGUCUCCUGGGGUGAAUACGCGGAGUCCCUUGUACAGGGUUAUGCGGCUAUUAAGCCCAUGUAUGUUGACGCCGGACUCGUCGAGCCGUGUCCGGGAUAGUAGGGCUGAAUUAGCGUGCGGCUGUCCAGGUUGCCGCACCAUGACCCGUACUUUGGGGGUCAAUUGAUAUUCUCCUGUAAUGAGAUGAUGCCUCGUGGGCCGGGCAUUUUAAGUGUAAGGGAUGCAUAAUGCGGUAUUGCGUUAAAGCGGGCGAAAGCUUCGCGUCCCAGUAGCACUUGAUAGCGACUUACGAAUGGGGCGAUGUGGAAGGUUAGCUUUUCGCUUCAGAAGUUGUCGGGUGAGCCGAACUUAACUUCUAAUGAAAGGGAACCCAUACUCUGGGUAUCUGGGCCCGGCGUGACUCCAUGAAAGGAAGUGUUGCCAUGGCGGAUUAAAGCUGGGUUCACCCCGAGCUUGCGGAUUGUGUCUUGAUAUAACAGGUUUAAGUCACUGCCGCCAUCCAUAAGGACUCUUGUAAAUUGUAGUCCGUCAAUAACCGGAUUCAAGAUCAAGGCAGUCCAGCCUGCGUUCCGGGUCCCUCUGGAGUAGUCCUGAUAAUCAAAGGUGAUUGGUUGUAACAACCAGUGGCGGUGCCCCUCUGGGGUGGGCCGCAUGGCGCGUGUCUUCGUGGGCGCCGUUCUGUUUUUCCCUUUUGUCAUCUGAAGUGAAUUUACUGUUUGGACUUCCUGUGGGAACUUAUUUUGUUCUCCGGUGUUCUUCUUGUGGGGUGCGUCGUCAUCCUUGCUUGGUGUGUCGAGCCCCUUGUGUUCGGCGUUGAGUUUGCCGGACUGUUUGAAGACCCAACAAUCUCUGUGGGUAUGGUUUGCAGGUCUCCCGGGGGUACUGUGGAUUUGACAUAUUUUGUCCAGGAUUUUGUUGAGGUUGGACAGCUCAUCCCUGUCAUCUUUGGGUGGCAGUUUUUUCUGAUUUUGCCGAGAGCUUUUGAAUCCGGCAUUGACUGCCGUGCUCAUCGGGCUAUUAUCCUUUAUCUGGCGCUGUUCUUUGUUACGACACGGUUUUCCGUUUCCAUCUCUGAGUUCGGAUGUACUCGGGUCGCUGGUGCUCCUUCUUGCCAACCAGCUAUCCUCUCCAGCGUAAAAGCGGGUCAUGAGGCUUGUUAAUGCAGCCAUUGUUCUUGGCUUUUCUUGGCCGAGGUUUCUGGCGAGCCAUUCGUCUUGGACGCUGUGUUUGAAAGCUGCUAGGGCCUCAGCGUCCGGACAGUCGACUAUCUGAUUCUUUUUAGUAAGGAAUCUGUUCCAAAGUUUCCAGGCUGACUCUCCGGGCUGCUGAGUUAUAUGACUCAGAUCAUCUGCGUCCGGAGGUCGGACGUAGGUCCCUUUAAAUUUUGCCCGGAAAGCGUCCUCGAGCACUUCCCAACUUCCUAUGGUGUUUUCGGGAAGGCUUUUAAGCCAAUGCCGGGCUGGCCCUUUGAGCUUAAGGGGUAAGUAUUUUAUGGCGUGAGGGUCAUCUCCUCUGGCCAUGUGUAUGUGGAGGAUAUAAUCCUCGAUCCAGACUCCGGGGUCUGUUGUUCCGUCGUAUGCUUCUAUGUUCACGGGCUUGAAUCCCGCUGGAAAUUCAUAAUCCAGCACCUUAUCGGUAAAACAUAGGGGAUGUGCGGCGCCCCUGUAUGUAGGUGUGCCGUGAUGUUCGGAUAUUUUUUGUAUUGCAUUGCUCGCUGGAGCUUGCUUUCUUGGCCCAUAUAUGGAUCUGGUUGGGCUAGUUUUUUGAUGUGAAUCCUUAGGUGGAUUGCGCGUCGAAUUGAGUGCGACGCCCUUUGUCGCUUGAGACCGAUCGUGGGGUCGUCUAUCCGACCUGGUGGCUUCCUUAUUUUUUGACUAUGGGGGCUUUAUGGCCUCUUCAUCAAAUUCCGGUAGUAGUUUCCGCUUUGGAUAGCUUUUUGUGUGACGACUGUUGCCGUACUUGUGUGCGGUAUUGAGUACUUUGCCCCAUCUGGUUCUGAGUGCAUCUUCCGCUGUUUUGAGCCUCCGCUUCUGCUUUUUCAGGCUACGUGCAGUUGCAACGAGCCUUUGGUGGAGGUUCUGAUGUUCCAGCGAUUCGUCCGGCGUGAGGUCGUCCGGACUAUUAUCCUUCCCGGAGAUUGGUUGUUUGGAUUGUCCGCCCUGUUUGGACGGUUGCUCGAUGGCAUGUUCGUCUUCCGUUGAUUCGCCCUGCUCUAUGGCUGGGUCUUUGUCGAGUUGGGGCUUGGCAUGGCGCAUACGUCGCCGCUUUGAUUGUUUGUCGAGGGAGCAAUCCCUGGUUGCGCCCUUUUGAUCCUCGUUAUCAUUUCUCUUAGGUGUGUCCACCAUGUAUACAUCAUAUGAUGAGGUGGCUUUCCAGUGCCCUAUAGGUGCUGGUUCUUGGUCGUCUCCUCCAUCGGCGUCCAUGCCGUCGAUGUCUUUGGAGUCGUAGUCGAGCAUGUCGGUUAGAUCGUCGACAGUGGCUACAAAGUGCGUGGUGGGUGGGUUUCGAAUUUCCUCAUCGUCCGUAUCCCAACCCUGCUGACCAUAGUCCGGCCAGGGCUCUCCUGACAAAGAGAGAGACUUUAGUGAAUCCAGGAUAUCGCCAAAGGGCGAGUGCUAAAAGAUGUCCGCGGUGGUGAACUCCAUGAUCGGAGCCCAAUCGGGUUCGAUCGAAAGGGGUGCGGAAUAUUCGGAGUCCGGAACGGAGUCCGGCACCUCGGAGUCACGGGCCUUGCAAAGGACUAGGAUGGUAUUCGGCUCUAUCGCCGUAGAGAUUGUGGCUCCCGGGGCGGCGUCCAACCGUCCGUCCCCGACUAGCGCAGUCGGCUCCGAGCUAAUGGUCGGAGCGAACACCCGAGCGGCACUCUGGGCGCUGUCCGGCGGCAGAGCUAGAUCAUGCCCAUCGAGACAGUGCGGCACGCUCGGCCGUGGCUCGAAUCCGUCGAAGAUCAAGUCCCCGCGGAUGUCGGCUGUGUAGUUUAAGCUUCCAAACCUGACCUGAUGGCCAGGGGCGUGGCUUCUGAUCUGCUCCAGAUGGCCAAGCGAGUUGGCCCACAGUGCGAAGCCGCCGAAUAUGAAGAUCUGUCCGGGGAGAAAAGUCUCACCCUGCACCGCGUCGUGGUUGACGAUCGAAGAUGCCAUCGGGCCUAAAGGUGACGACACAGAGGAACUCUCAAUGAAAACACCAAUGUCCGUGUCAAAACCAGCGGAUCUCGGGUAGGGGGUCCCGAACUGUGCGUCUAGGCGGAUGGUAACAGGAGACAAGGGACACGAUGUUUUUACCCAGGUUCGGGCCCUCUCGGUGGAGGUAAAACCCUACUCCUGCUUGAUUGAUAUUGAUGAUAUGGGUAUUACAAGAGUUGAUCUACCACGAGAUCAGAGAGGCUAAACCCUAGAAUCUAGCCUAUGGUAUGAUUGUUGUCUGUCCUACGGACUAAAACCCUCCGGUUUAUAUAGACACCGGAGAGGGCUAGGGUUACACAGAGUCGGUUACAAUGGGAGGAGAUCUUCAUAUCGUAUCACCAAGCUUGCCUUCCACGCCAAGGAAAGUCCCUAUCCGGACACGGGACGAAGUCUUCAAUCUUGUAUCUUCAUAGUCCGGGAGUCCGGCCAAAGGUCAUAGUCCGGCCAUUCGGACACCCCCUAAUCCAGGACUCCCUCAGCCGAGCUCAAGGUCCGCUCGCUCGCCGCCUCCUCACCGAUUCCAGCCCUGAUUGUUAAUACCCAGGCUAUGUAUCAGUUUUUCAAUCUAAUUUCAAUUGAAUCACUUCUCGUGCAUGACUGCAUGACCGCAGGUUGAUAGAUCACUUCUAUCUUAUUACUCUUUUCAAUCUAAUUUUUCACAUGUCCAUGAAUUCCUAGUUGGAUAUAAACUGCAGUCAUCCAUGGAUUUAGUAUCAAUUUUUCAGAAAUCAUGGCCAUCCAAUUUGAUAAGAAACUGGAAUCUAAAUCCAUCUAAUUUGAGUGUUGUUGAAACAUACUGAUUUUACUCUAUGCAAGUCAACCUGUAUCACUAGAUAAUUUUUUUGUACACAAUUGAAAGGAAUGAAGUAUGUACAGUAGUAGUAUCAGCAUAUUCAGAAGUAUCACUAACUGAAGGACAUCUGCACGUAUAUGUAAAUCGGUAACAAUCCUUUUACAUAAUCAAACUGAAUUCAGUUCGGUUCAGUUAGUCGAGUCAAACACUGACGAAUUCAUCCAACCCGACCAUGGUCACUCACCUCUUACUCCUCUCAGAACCUCACGUCUCUUCCUAUAUUUUCUUUGUAUGUUCUGUUUUAUGAACUUUGAUUAAAUUUGUCCACUAUUUGGAUCUAUUCCUAUGUAUGUCAUUUAUAUAAUGUAGUUCCAACGAGCAUAAUAUAGUUCCGAGAAUCUCUAUAUUGUAGCAAGCUCCUUGGAACUGCUGUGCUCAAUGUGUAAAGAGAAGACAAGGCUUUUGAUUCUAAAUUAUGCAUCACAGACAUAUUAAAUGAUGGUCUGCAUGUUUCCAUUAUGGCUUUCCCUCUGAAUUUUUAGAACACAUCAUUACAAGGAUAUCAGAUUUCUUUUUGGCCUAAUUCUCUGCACCUAACUACCUAUUUCAAUUCAUGACCAUUACUUGGUCAACCAUGCUUUUAGCACUUCACCAUACUGUUUGCAUCUUUGUCCCAUUGAAGUUUUUUCAUGGGCGAUUGAUGCGGUGACAUAAUGUGCAAACAGCAAGACGUUGAUUUGUGAACUAUAUAUUUACAUGCGGUAUAGGUUAAUAUUGAUCUGUGAUUUUCCUCCGAAUUUAUGAAGACGUCGUAUUGAGGUUAUCACCUUUUUUUAUAGGAACAAAGUGUCAUCUUCGCAUCAGAAUAUGCCACGUUCUUUGUUUAGAUAUGCCUAACUUCUUACCUGAUCCAAUUCUGAACCUUACUUGGUCAACCUGUUUUUAGCACUUAAUAAUAUUCUUUGCAUCUUUGUUCCAGUGACAUAUAUGAGUAUAUCAUGUGCGAUUGAGGCUAUCCUGCUGAAGGGUAGGAAGACGGAGGAGCAGAUUCUAACAGCAAGCGUUAAUUUCUGAGUAAUCUUAUGUAUAUAUUAUUUAUAGGACUGCUGUUGUGGUGCCGACCAUGGCAACGAAGUGUGCGGCUGUUUAGUUCAGAUUGAAAUUCAGAAGGAUAGGGAGAACUCAACUCUACAGAACUCAAGUACACCUCUGAAUCUAUGCACUCGAUUGAUUUAUGAGCAAUUUUUAUGCACUAAAUUGGCCUAUAGACAUGUCCGAUUUAUGCUAAUGCAGUAGACCAGACGAGAUACCCCAAUGAUAAAUAAUUUUUUAAUCAAACAUCUAACUAAUACUAUCAUGCUUAAGUAAUUUUAGCUUACUACAUGGUUAAAAAUAUAUUAUAUUAUAUCAUUAUACGCUGUCUUCUUCUGGCUAAUUUUUUAUAAAGCCAAGUGUUGAAGUCACUAUGACACAAAGCCCGGCCAUGGUGACCCUCCAAGACCUCGACGACGGUGCUAUGGUACGAAUCCCUCCUCCCCUUCUCUUCUACUUCUCCGUCUCUCUCUGACCCCCAUCUCUCCUCUCGUCUCUUCUCUGUAGGUGACUGAUGUAGGAUGAACAGCGCUAAGGAACGGGACGACGCCGAUGCCAAAGGAAGCUCUGGCAGAGGAGAGCAGCCUCCUUCUCCUCCAUCUCUCUGCUUGCUCGGGUCUGGUUCUAGCCUGAUUUAAAAAAACGUUUUUUGCUUUCUCCCUUUCUGAUUCAGACUUGAGCACGAGCAGAUUCACUAGUUGGAGCUAUAUAUGGUGGUUGUUAUGUUAAUCAAAUCAUUAGGCGUUCCCCAUCCAUACCAUACAAUUGAUUGGUUUACUGCUUGCUUGGUUGUCAAGUGAGGUGUUUGUUUACUCUGCUUGAUUACUGCAACAACACAAUUAAUUAACCAACAUACAUGCAUACUUGGCUUGAGAAAAUAUGGAUGCGUGUGGAAACCUGCGGAAGACAAACUAAAUGUAGCCAUUAGCUAUGUUGCUAGGUGCCAAACAGAAGAAAUGACUAUUUUAGAUGUUUGGAGCUGGGGUAUCUUACUUAGCACCAUGUGUAAUUGUUUUACAGCACUGACUUAAUCAUGUUUGUUGCUGCUGCUAUGGCAUAUGGAGAAUAAUUUAGGCACCAUAAGCGUAAUAUCAUUAUAAACUUCUGAGAUGCGUGAUCUUUAGUACUGUAGUACUUGCUCGUAUCAGAUCAUCAAAUGUGCGAUCUUUUGUUCAAAGACGGUUCUCAUCGCAGGAAUCAAUGGGCGCUGGUUGUUGUGAUAGUACUAGUCUUAAUGCUGCAAGGGGAACUAUUUUUACAUUCUAUCACAGUAAUCACACACUAGUACAUAGGGAUCUAUUAGCUUAGCAAAACUGGCAUUUUGGCUGAGUAUUAAAUAGCAAAAUGUCCCUUCAUCUGUCGCUGCUUACUUGUCUAAGCCUGACAAUAUUAUUCCAUCUAAUUGUUGUGUGUUGUUAUCUUGAAUACAUUUCUCUUUUAAUUUAUUUUCAAUCUUCCAAGCCUGGACAUAGUUAUUGUAUCUUAUUAUCAUCUUUGGAAGUGGCCGGACCCUUCCGCGAACCCUACGCAAGCAGGAGCUAUGUGCAGCGCGCUGCCCUUUUUUAUCAUCUUGAAACACUACUUGUUUUAUUCUCUGUGCACCGUGUUUGCUGGAGACUAACAUUCUCUUAUUUAACCAUGCAGUGAUUACCUCUUCAAGCUAUUGCUUAUUGGAGACUUAGGUGUUGGCAGGUCAUGUCUUCUGUUAAGAUUUGCAGUAAGAAUCUCUAUCUCAAGCAUGAUCCAUUUUGCUAUCUCUUUCCCGUCUAUAUAUUAUGGAAGGUUUCCAUGUUAAAAUUUCGGUAGUUGAUGGAUACAUCAUGGAGUUGACCAUUUUGUUUAUAGGAUGUGUAAGCUGAAUCAUUAUUCACAAUUGUUCGAAUUUAAAUUGUUCAACAUGAAUAGUUCAUUAUUGGUAGCUAGUACAUUUUUUUAAAACAAGAUGAUGGGCAUCCUUAUAUACUACUCCAUCUGUAAACUAAUAUAAGAGCGUUUAGAUCACUCCAUGUGUACAUUUAUUCUGCCCGAUUUAAAAUGGUGCUCUCUGGAGAGUCAACGUUGACCCCGGCGCUGUUUUGAAGAGCAGUGGGAAUCAAUUUUGGGAUGUCCUUUGUUGGCGAUUUCCCUAUCCAUGAAAUGAUAAAUUUUGAACAGAUGUUAACUGUCAAAUAUUUCAAGCAUAUAUAGCUCAAAUACACUAGUAUUUCUUGAAUGCACCAAAACAAGAAGAUAGCAUGAACACGUACAGCUAGGGUAUGCAUUUAGUAGGUGUUUUUUCAUUUUGAAGAUUCAUAAUAGACUAAAAGAGACAGAUAAUUGAAGAAAAUACCCUACUAGAUCUGCACGAGGGCGCGAACUAACAAGUUUUCACUUUCUCGACUGGGUGCAGGGUGAUCGACGAGGUCUUCAGUGGCCCGAUGGGAGUCGUGCUUUUCAACUACUCGGAGGCAGACUUCACCGUGAAGCCCUGCGACCGUGUCAUAGAGAUUAUCGUCCAGGUGAUUGCGAUGCAGGAGGUCCCCGGGGUGGAGGACCUCGACGCCACCGUCCGGAGGUCACCGAGGUGGAGGACGACGCCACCGUCCGGAGUUCCUCAAGGUGGAGGACCUCGACGCUUUGUACAUACAUCUAGAGAAGUGGUCUGGUUAGGUUGGUGGUGAAAUGUUAGGGAAGGUACCAACCUUUUGAUGAUGGUUGUGUGUGUCCUCGUGAUCUCUUCGAAUUGAGAUGUUGAAUGUUGCAUCCAUGAACAUUGCAAGUGUUAAGAUGGUUUUGUGAAAUUUAUUUUGCACUGGACGUGUCUGAUCUCCAUUCAUGAAUACUGCAUCUAUUUUUAUUUUUUUAAUUCCUAAUUUGCUACUAGUAGCGUUGGGAAAAAAGUUCCCUACUAGUAUUUAGGAUACUAGUAGCGCUGGUAUUGUAGGCACGCUACUACUACUUCAUUAGUAGUAGCGCGAGUCUGUAAUAGCAGUAGCGCGGGUGGCACACGCUACUACUAACAAAGUUAGUAGUAGCGCGGGUUUCUCCCACGCUACUACUAACUAUUAGCUGUAGCGCCUUAUUAGUAGCGCCGGUCCCCGCGCUGCUGAUACACCUAAAACCCGCGCUGCUGCUAGCCUUUUUCCUAGUAGUGUAGGGUUACAUAUGGUCGGUUACCAUCAGGGGAUAAGCAUGUCGGUUACGCUAACCAAACUUGGAUGACAUGCCAAGUCUUCGGAGAUUUCCUUCUAGAGCAUGGAGUCGCCUGUAGUCCGGCCUUCCUUCGAUGAAUCAAGAGUGGCCCACCAGUCCGGCCUAUGAGAGAUAGGCCGGCACCCCGAGGACCCCUUAGUCCAUGGCACCCUCACCUCCACUUGGUUUGGAGGGCACUUCUCCCCUCCUUGGCCGCCACCCCCUCCCUUAGAGGAGGGGCAAGGGCUGGCCACGUCCCUCCCCCUAUAUAAAUAGAGAGGAGGCGCAAGGGGUAGCCCAUCCCUUCACCACGGCGGUUGUCCUCUCCCUCUCCCUCCACUUCUCGUCCCUGUAGCGCUUGGCGUAGCCUUGCCGGAAUUCCGCUGCCACCAUCACCACCACCACGCCAUCGUGUUAGACCAGAUCUAAUCUACUUCUUCUCCCUCGCUUGCUAGAUCAAGGAGGAGGAGACGUCAUCGAGCCGUACAUGUGCUAAACUCGGAGGUGACGCACAUGCGGUGCUUGGAUCGGAUUGGAUCACGACGCGAGUACGACUACGCCAACCACGAUCUCUAGAUCAUUAAUGCUUUCGAUCUACAAGGGUAUGUAGACUCACUCCCCUCUCGUAGGUAUGCAUCUCCUAGAUUGAUCUUGGGUGUUCGUAGGAUUUUUUUUUAUUUUCAUGCUUGUUCCCNNNNNNNNNNNNNNNNNNNNNNNNNNNNNNNNNNNNNNNNNNNNNNNNNNNNNNNNNNNNNNNNNNNNNNNNNNNNNNNNNNNNNNNNNNNNNNNNNNNNNNNNNNNNNNNNNNNNNNNNNNNNNNNNNNNNNNNNNNNNNNNNNNNNNNNNNNNNNNNNNNNNNNNNNNNNNNNNNNNNNNNNNNNNNNNNNNNNNNNNNNNNNNNNNNNNNNNNNNNNNNNNNNNNNNNNNNNNNNNNNNNNNNNNNNNNNNNNNNNNNNNNNNNNNNNNNNNNNNNNNNNNNNNNNNNNNNNNUUGGUUCCAGCUGGACGGAUUUCGAUCGUCCAGACCGGUCUGAACAACUUUGUUGACCGCCGUUGGAUGGCGAAAAAUGUUCAGACUGUUCGGUCCGACCAUUUUGAGGUGAUUUGGUGAUCCGCAUUGGAGUUGCCCUAAGCACUUGGGCGUGUCGAACCAUGGGAGGAGGACAAACUAUCUCAAAGACUUCACAAUAAACUUUGUUUAUUGCUUGGAUUCUUUCAUCAAAAUUGGAAGAACCAUGCACUACCAUACCGUCGAUGGAUUUGUUAGAUGGACAAGCUGUUUGUGUACCAUGAUUUGCACAAUUUUUUGCUACUAUCAAUGGUUGGUGUUUUUGGAUAGAUGGCGGUAUUGUCAAUGGUACAAUUUUUGCUGUUAUAUUUUUUUCAGCAAUCUUUAGUACUGUUCAUUUUUGUAGUUCAACCCUAUUUGUAAUGAGCAAAACUUUAAAAGCAUUAUAAUUGUAAUAUUUAACACUUGAUGAUAUUCAUAAAUCACUUUCGUGCUCAUAUUUGAACAAAAACACUUCGAAACAACAAAGUGUUAACAUUCAUCAAAACAAUUUAUGUCUAAGGGCGAUAGAGACAUUUCAGCAAUAUAACUUAAUCCACAAUCUUAAAUUGCAAUCUUAGCAAAGAAUUUAAUGGCAGAUUCUAUGGAUUAUGCAGAAUCCUCGGCAUAACGAACUGACGCUCAAUAUUACUCCCUCCGUUUCAUAAUAUAAAAACGUUUUUGACAUUAGUCACUCUUAUAUUAUACUCACACCGUCCAAAAAUAUUUAUCAAAAAAAUAGAUGUAUCUAGACAUAUUUAAAUUCUAGUACCACCUUUUUGACACAUGUACUGCCGGUACACCACGGCUGGACCGCAGGAGACCUGCCGCAUCUCCGAUUAUUAACAUAAACUAUUCCAACAGGGCCAUAGCUCCAGAAAAAAUAUAUUAUCUCCGGAUCAAAUUAGCAAGAGCUCUUCCCUUUCACAUGGAGCUGCUCGCUUUCGCUUAUCCCAUCCGUUUCUGCUUGUUCCGGUCCAAGAAUACAUGAAUGACUGGACCACGAGGAUGGAUUGAACAGCAAAGUUCACUGUAACCCACACAUGCCUUAAUAAUACGUAAUAAUGAAAGUAGUAAAAACGCGGCUGGUGACCGCACUUAUACUCUCUAUAUACAUACACUCGGAGAUCCGAUCAGGUCGGAGACUUUUCAGCCUCCAGCUUACGUGGAGUGCUAAUUAACCCAUCUGGUGGAUAUCUUCCAACAAAAAUAUCGAUCGAGCCAGCAGAACUACUCAGGACAGGCGCCCAGCCCAGCCAGAACGCCAACCAUUUUAAAUUCAAUCGAAAGGAGAAAAGAACGAACUCAGCAGGCAACAGCAGCAUCUCCAUUUUCAAAGCCAGCCGGAGGCCGGAGCGGCUGUGCCUCAGGUGCUCUAUCUAUCCGGGAAGGGAACUCGCCGCUGGCUGGAGGUGGUCGUUAGCAUGUCAAGUUGUUUUCUUUCGAGCUCUCGUUAGCACGUCACGUUGACGUGGACGCCCGAGCGUGAACUCCGUAGCUAUCCGAGCAUCCGCCUACAAAAGGGGCAAAGCGGUGCCCGGAGCUGCUCCAUCCAUCAUCAUCUCCUCUACCCAGCCAGACCUGUCCCGAGCCAAUCAUACAGUGCGGCGCGUGCGACUGCGAGCAGAGCUUCUAGCAGAGGAGGGAAGGAGCGAGCGGGAUGCUGGAAGGGAAGGCGACGGUGGAGGACACCGACAUGCCGGCCAAGAUGCAGCUGCAGGCUACGUCGGCGGCGUCCAGGGCGCUCGACCGCUUCGACGUCCUCGACUGCCGGAGCAUCGCGGCGCACAUCAAGAAGGUGAGAAACAUGCCAAUCCCGCCCCCAAAUCUAUAAGCUGCUGAAUCUGCAAGUAACAAGCUAGGACAGUGCAAGUGCUGCCGAAUGAUUGGAUCUGAUUUGGACGGCUGCACUGCAGGAGUUCGACACGAUCCAUGGCCCGGGGUGGCAGUGCGUGGUCGGCUGCAGCUUCGGCUGCUACUUCACGCACAGCAAGGGGAGCUUCAUAUACUUCAAGCUCGAGUCGCUCCGGUUCCUCGUCUUCAAAGGCAUGGCGGAUGAGCAACCGCUGCCGUGCUGAUCCGCUCCGCGCAUAUUUUCACGGCCUGCUGGACUACUACUUGAUUACGGGGCGGCGGCUAGUAGUGUGAAACAGUUCCAUGAAAUGCGCCAAUAUGGAUAAGAUGUAAGCUUUUGCAUCGCAAUUCGCGAGUGUGGUCUAAAACUCUGAAUGCGUUGAAUGGUGGAAUUGAUCUUCAAAUAUGAUGUUCCGCCUUGAUUCAGACGAAUACAGAUAAAUUGUUUCAGUAUUUUUUGGUCGAAAGAUGCUCCUAGUGUAACUCGCCUGUAAGUGACUAAUCCUUUCUGGCUGGAAGAAUAAACAAAAAAAAUCAUCAAUGAUAAAUUUUUUUGUCUCCGACCUACCGGAUUCGAACCAGUGACCUAAGGAUUUAUCUGUAAAUACUACAGUCCUCCGCUCUACCAACUGAGCUAAGGUCGGGUUACAUAUUAACAUCUUAUUAACGGCAACACCAGUUUUGUGUUGGUGAUAUCCAUCGAGUCAAACUUCACAUUAACAUGAACACCAACUGAGUUCAAUUGGUUAAACUUGUUUUAUGCUCGAAAAAUUUACUGCUUCAAAAAACUCUUUUAUUCGAUGGGAGGGUGUUGAUGAAGAGGCUAAACGAGUACCUAACACAAAGGCAAUUCAAUAAGGACCUACUAUCAUAACAAACCGUGACACUGAUUGGAACAACCACAUAGGCAAGGACAUACCUAGGUUGAGAUACAAUUCUAGAAAAGGCAAAGUUCAACUUUGUUUCCUCUCUUCCCGCAAAAAAAAAAAAUCCUCUCUACUUUGGUACCCAAAACCUUCUUCCUCUUCUGGGGACACAGAGUGAAAUUGUUUGGAAUUUCGGGAACCGGCCUGUAGACGACGAGAUGCUCAUGUACUAUGCUUAGGGCAUCUUCAACGGCGACCCGCAAAUUUUCUCCCGCGUUCGUCCGCAGACAGGACGGGACCAGUCUGAUGGAUGCGGAAGGCCGUCAUCCAACCGUAGCCAUAAAUGUUCGUCUCUGCUAAAGUUUAAUUGCCAAAUAACUACGUGAUUUCCUUUACAAAAAACUAUGAUUAGUAGCUUUUUGUUUAGCGAAAGGCUAUUAAUCCAUGUGCCAGUGUAUUUUCCGUCAAAGCUAGCUUUCUUGGCAAGAAGUAAUAAAGAACCUUAAUAGAAAACUAAUCACCUUGUCAAAUGCUAAUCAUACAGCAAAAAGUAACCUUUCACCAAAUGCUCAAAUACUAAUCAUCUUGCCAAAUGCUAAUCAUAUGACAAUAAGUAACCUUCCGCUGAAUGACCAAAUAUAUUUGCAAAGGAUUAUAGUGAUGUCUCUGGUCAAUAACCAAUAGCGGAACCUGGAUGUUCAUAUUGGCGCCCACAUAUUCUAUGAAGAUCUUUAUCGGUUAAAUCGCAUAACAACAUACGUUGUUCCCUUUGUCAUCGAUACGUUACUUGCCCGAGAUUCGAUCGUCGGUAUCUCAAUACCUAGUUCAAUCUCGUUACUGGCAAGUCUCUUUACUCGUUCCGUAAUGCAUCAUCCCGCAACUAACUCAUUAUUCACAUUGCUUGCAAGGAUUAUAGUGAUGUGCAUUACCGAGAGGGCCCAGAGAUACCUCUCCGACAAUCGGAGUGACAAAUCCUAAUCUUGAUCUAUGCCAACUCAACAAGUAGCAUCGAAGACACAUGUAGAGCACAUUUAUAAUCACUCAGUUACGUUGUGACGUUUGGUAGCACACAAAGUGUUCCUCCGGUAUUCGGGAGUUGCAUAAUCUCAUAGUCAUAGGAAUAUGUAUAAGUCACAAAGAAAGCAAUAGCAACAUACUAAACAAUCAAAUUCUAAGCUAAUGGAAUGGGUCAAGUCAGUCACAUCAUUCUCUAAUGAUGUGAUCCCGUUAAUCAAAUGGCAACUCAUGUCUAUGGCUAGGAAACUUAACCAUCUUUGAUUCAACGAGCUAGUCAAGUAGAGGCAUACUAGUGACACUCUGUUUGUCUAUGUAUUCACACAUGUACUAAUUUUCCAGUUAAUACAGAUCUAGCAUGAAUAAUAAACAUUUAUCAUGAUAUAAUGAAAUAUAAAUAACAACUUUAUUAUUGCCUCUAGGGCAUAUUUCCUUCAGUCUCCCACUUGCACUAGAGUCAAUAAUCUAGAUUACACAGUAAUGAUUCUAACACCCAUGGAGCCUUGGUGUUGAUCAUGUUUUGCUUGUGAGAGAGGCUUAGUCAAUGGGUCUGCAAUAUUCAGAUCCGUAUGUAUCUUGCAAAUAUCUAUGUCUCCCUCCUUGACUUGAUCACGGAUGGAAUUGAAGCGUCUUUUUAUGUGCUUGGUUCUCUUGUGAAAUCUGGAUUCCUUUGCCAAAGAAAUUGCACCAGUAUUGUCACAAAAGAUUUUCAUUGGACCCAAUGCACUAGGUAUGACACCUAGAUCGGAUAUGAACUCCUUCAUCCAGACUCCUUCAUUUGCUGCUUCCGAAGCAGCUAUGUACUGUGCUUCACACGUAGAUCCUGCCACGAUGCUUUUCUUAGAACUGCACCAACUGAUAGCUCCACCGUUCAAUAUAAACAAGUAUCUGGUUUGAGACUUAGAGUCAUCUGGAUCAGUGUCAAAGCUUGCAUCGACAUAACUAUUUACGACGAGUUCUUUGUCACCUCCAUAAAUGAGAAACAUAUCCUUAGGCCUUUUUAGGUAUUUCAGGAUGUUCUUGACCGCUGUCUAGUGAUCCACUCCUGGAUUACUUUGGCACCUCCCUGCUAAACUGAUAGCAAGGCACACAUCAGGUCUGGAACACAACAUUGCAUACAUGAUAGAGCCUAUGGCUGAAGCAUAGGGAACACCUUUCAUUUUCUCUCUAUCUUCUAUAGUGGUCGGGCAUUGAGUCUGACUCAACUUCACACCUUGUAACACAGGCAAGCACCCUUUCUUUGCUUGAUCCAUUUUGAACUUCUUCAAAACUUUAUCAAGGUAUGUGCUUUGUGAAAGUCCAAUUAAGCAUCUUGAUCUAUCUUUAUAGAUCUUGAUGCCUAAUAUAUCAGCAACUUCACCGAGGUCUUUCAUAGAAAAACUCUUGUUCAAGUAUCCUUUUAUACUAUCCAGAAAUUCUAUAUCAUUUCCAAUCAACAAUAUGUCAUCCACAUAUAAUAUUAGAAAUGCUACAGAGCUCCCACUCACUUUCUUGUAAAUACAGGCUUCUCCAAUAGUCUGUAUAAGCAUCUCGGAGUUGGCAUAUGGUUUUAUACAGACUUUUGGAGAAGCCUGUAUUUACAAGAAAGUGAGUGGGAGCUNNNNNNNNNNNNNNNNNNNNNNNNNNNNNNNNNNNNNNNNNNNNNNNNNNNNNNNNNNNNNNNNNNNNNNNNNNNNNNNNNNNNNNNNNNNNNNNNNNNNNNNNNNNNNNNNNNNNNNNNNNNNNNNNNNNNNNNNNNNNNNNNNNNNNNNNNNNNNNNNNNNNNNNNNNNNNNNNNNNNNNNNNNNNNNNNNNNNNNNNNNNNNNNNNNNNNNNNNNNNNNNNNNNNNNNNNNNNNNNNNNNNNNNNNNNNNNNNNNNNNNNNNNNNNNNNNNNNNNNNNNNNNNNNNNNNNNNNNNNNNNNNNNNNNNNNNNNNNNNNNNNNNNNNNNNNNNNCUGUAGCAUUUCUGAUAUUAUAUGUAGAUGACAUAUUAUUAAUUGGAAAUGAUAUAGAAUUUCUGGAUAGCAUAAAGGGAUACUUGAAUAAAGUUUUUCAAUGAAAGAUCUAGGUGAAGCUGCUUACAUAUUGGGCAUCAAGAUCUAUAGAGAUAGAGCAAGACGCUUAAUAGGACUUUCACAACGCACAUACCUUGAUAAAAUUUUGAAAAAGUUCAAAAUGGAUCAGGCAAAGAAAGGGUUCUUGCCCGUGCUUCAAGGUGUGAAGUUGAGUCAAACUCAAUGCCCAACCACAGCAGAAGAUAGAGAGAAAAUGAAAGAUAUUCAUUAUGCUUUAGCCAUAGGCUCUAUCAUGUAUGCAAUGUUAUGUACCAGACCUGACGUAUGCUUAGCAAUAAGUUUGGCAGGGAGGUACCAAAGUAAUCCAGGAGUGGAUCACUGGACAGCGGUCAAGAACAUCCUGAAAUACCUGAAAAGGACCAAGGAUAUGUUUCUCGUAUAUGGAGGUGACAAAGAGCUAGUCGUAAAUGGUUACGUCGAUGCAAGCUUUGACACUGAUUCGGACGAUUCUAAAUCGCAAACCGGAUACGUGUUUUUAUUAAACGGUGGUGCUGUAAGUUGGUGCAGUUCUAAACAAAGCGUCAUGGCGGGAUCUUCAUGUGAAGCUGAGUACAUAGCUGCUUCGGAAGCAGCAAAUGAAGGAGUCUAGAUGAAGGAGUUCAUUUCUGAUCUAGGUGUCAUACCUAGUGCAUCGGGACCAAUGAAGAUCUUCUGUGACAAUAUUGGUGCAAUUGCUUUGGCAAAGGAAUCCAGAUUUCACAAGAGGACCAAGCACAUCAAGAGACGCUUCAAUUCCAUCCGGGACCAAGUCCAAGUGGGAGACAUAGGAAUUUGCAAGAUACAUACGGAUCUGAAUGUUGCAGACCCUUUGACUAAGCCUCUCUCACGAGCAAAUCAUGAUCAGCACCAAGACUCCAUGGGUGUUAGAAUCAUUACUAUGUAAUCUAGAUUAUUGACUCUAGUGCAAGUGGGAGACUGAAGGAAAUAUGCCCUAGAGGCAAUAAUAAAGUUAUUAUUUAUUUCCUCAUAUCAUGAUAAAUGUUUAUUAUUCAUGCUAGAAUUGUAUUAACCGGAAACAUGAUACAUGUGUGAAUACAUAGACAAACAUAUAGUCACUAGUAUGCCUCUACUUGUCUAGCUCAUUAAUCAAAGAUGGUUAUGUUUCCUAACCAUAGACAUGUGUUGUCAUUUGAUUAAUGGGAUCACAUCAUUAGGAGAAUGAUGUGAUUGACAUGACCCAUUCCGUUAGCCUAGCACUUGAUCGUUUAGUAUAUUGCUAUUGCUUUCUUCAUGACUUAUACAUGUUCCUGUAACUAUGAGAUUAUGCAACUCCCGUUUACCGGAGGAACACUUUGGGUACUACCAAACGUCACAACGUAACUGGGUGAUUAUAAAGGAGUACUACAGGUGUCUCCGAAGGUACAUGUUGAGUUGGCGUAUUUCGAGAUUAGGUUUUGUCACUCCGAUUGUCUGAGAGGUAUCUCUGGGCCCUCUCGGUAAUGCACAUCACUAUAAGCCUUGCAAGCAAUGUGACCAAUGAGUUGGUUACGGGAUGAUGCAUUACGUAACGAGUAAAGAUACUUGCUAGUAACGAGAUUGAACUAGGUAUUGGAUACCGACAAUCAAAUCUUGGGCAAGUAACAUACCGAUGACAAAGGGAACAACGUAUGUUGUUAUGCGGUUUGACCGAUAAAGAUCUUCGUAGAAUAUGUAGGAACCAAUAUGGGCAUCCAGGUUCCGAUAUUGUUUAUUGACCGAGAAUAGUUCUAGGUCAUGUCUACAUUGUUCUCGAACCCGUAGGGUCCGCACGCUUAACGUUACGAUGACAGUUUUAUUAUGAGUUUAUAAGUUCUGAUGUACCGAAGUUUGUUCGGAGUCCCGGAUGUGAUCACGGACAUGACGAGGAGUCUUGAAAUGGUCGAGACAUAAAGAUUGAUAUAUUGGACGACUAUAUUCGGACACCGGAAGUCUUCCGGGUGAUUUCGGAGAAAACCGGAGUGCCGGAGGGUUACCGGAACCCCCCCCCCCCCGGGAGAGUUAAUGGGCCACAUGGGCCUUAGUGGGAAGAGAGAGGGGCGGCCAGGGUGGGCCGCGCGCCCCCUCUCCCUCUGGUCCGAAUUGGACUAGGAGGGGGGCGGCGCCCCCCUCUUUCCUUCCCCCUCUCCCCCUUCCUUUCCCCCUCCUAGUAGGAGUAGGAAAGGGGGAGUCCUACUCCUACUAGGAGGAGGACUCCUCCUCCUUGGCGCGCCCCAAGGGGCCGGCCGGCCUCCCCCCUUGCUCCUUUAUAUACGAGGGCAGGGGGGCACCCUAGAACACACAAGUUGAUCUACGGAUCGUUCCUUAGCCGUGUGCGGUGCCCCCCUCCACCAUAUUCCACCUCGGUCAUAUCAUCGCGGAGAUUAGGCGAAGCCCUGCGCCGGUAGAGCAUCAUCAUCGUCACCACGCCGUCGUGCUGACAGAACUCAUCCCCGAAGCUUUGCUGGAUCGGAGCCCGGGGAUCGUCAUCGAGCUGAACGUGUGCUGAACUCGGAGGUGCCGUACGUUCGGUACUUGGAUCGGUCGGAUCGUGAAGACGUACGACUACAUCAACCGCGUUGUCAUAAUGCUUCCGCUUACGAUCUACGAGGGUACGUGGACAACACUCUCCCCUCUCAUUGCUAUGCCAUCACCAUGAUCUUGCGUGUACGUAGGAAAUUUUUGAAAUUACUGCGUUCCCCAACAGUGGCAUCCGAGCCAGGUUUUAUGCGUAGAUGUCAUAUGCACGAGUAGAACACAAGUGAGUUGUGGGCGAUACAAGUCAUACUGCUUACCAGCAUGUCAUACUUUGGUUCGGCGGUAUUGUGAGAUGAAGCGGCCCGGACCGACAUUACGCGUACGCUUACGCGAGACUGGUUUCACCGUUACGAGCACUCGUUCUUAAAGGUGGCUGGCGGGUGUCUGUCUCUCUCACUUUAGCUGAAUCGAGUGUGGCUACGCCCGGUCCUUGUGAAGGUUAAAACAGCACUAACUUGACGAACUAUCGUUGUGGUUUUGAUGCGUAGGUAAGAACGGUUCUUGCUAAGCCCGUAGCAGCCACGUAAAAUUUGCAACAACAAAGUAGAGGACGUCUAACUUGUUUUUUUGCAGGGCAUGUUGUGAUGUGAUAUGGUCAAGACGUGAUGCUAUAUUUUAUUGUAUGAGAUGAUCAUCUUUUGUAACCGAAGUUAUCGGCAACUGGCAGGAGCCAUAUGGUUGUUGCUUUAUUGUAUGAAAUGCAAACGCCCUGUAAUUGCUUUACUUUAUCACUAAGCGGUAGCAAUAGUCGUAGAAGCAAUAGAUGGCGUAACGACAACGAUGCUACGAUGUAGAUCAAGGUGUCACGCCGGUGACGAUGGUGAUCACGACGGUGCUUCGAAGAUGGAGAUCACAAGCACAAGAUGAUGAUGGCCAUAUCAUAUCACUUAUAUUGAUUGCAUGUGAUGUUUAUCCUUUAUGCAUCUUAUCUUGCUUUGAUUGACGGUAGCAUUUUAAGAUGAUCUCUCACUAAUUAUCAAGAAGUGUUCUCCCUGAGUAUGCACCGUUGCGAAAGUUCUUCGUGCUGAGACACCACGUGAUGAUCGGGUGUGAUAGGCUCUACGUUCAAAUACAACGGGUGCAAAACAGUUGCACACGCGGAAUACUCGGGUUAAACUUGACGAGCCUAGCAUAUACAGAUAUGGCCUCGGAACACGGAGACCGAAAGGUCGAGCGUGAAUCAUAUAGUAGAUAUGAUCAACAUAAUGAUGUUCACCAUUGAAACUACUCCAUCUCACGUGAUGAUCGGACAUGGUUUAGUUGAUUUGGAUCACGUGAUCACUUAGAUGACUACAGAGAUGUCUGUCUAAGUGGGAGUUCUUAAGUAAUAUGAUUAAUUGAACUUAAAUUUAUGAUGAACUUAGUACCUGAUAGUAUUUUGCUUGUCUAUGUUUGUUGUAGAUAGAUGGCCCGUGCUAUUGUUCCGUUGAAUUUUAAUGCGUUCCUUGAGAAAGCAAAGUUGAAAGAUGAUGGUAGCAAUUACACAGACUGGGUCCGUAACCUGAGGAUUAUCCUCAUUGCUGCACAGAAGAAUUACGUCCUGGAAGCACCGCUGGGUGCUAGGCCUGCUGCUGAUGCAACUGACGACGUUAAGAACGUCUGGCAGAGCAAAGUUGAUGACUACUCGAUAGUUCAGUGUGCCAUACUUUACGGCUUAGAACCGGGUCUUCAACGACGUUUUGAACUUCAUGGGGCAUAUGAGAUAUUCCAGGAGUUGAAGUUAAUAUUUCAAGCAAAUGCCCGGAUUGAGAGAUAUGAAGUCUCCAAUAAGUUCUAUAGCUGCAAGAUGGAAGAGAAUAGUUCUGUCAGUGAACACAUACUCAAAAUGUCUGGGUAUAAUAAUCACUUGAUUCAACUGGGAGUUAAUCUUCCUGAUGAUAGUGUCAUUGACAGAAUUCUCCAAUCACUGCCACCAAGCUACAAGAGCUUCGUGAUGAACUAUAAUAUGCAAGGGAUGGACAAGACUAUUCCCGAGCUCUUCGCAAUGCUAAAAGCCGCGGAGGUAGAAAUCAAGAAGGAGCAUCAAGUGUUGAUGGUUAACAAGACCACCAGUUUCAAGAAAAAGGGCAAAGGGAAGAAGAAGAGGAACUUCAAGAAGAACAGCAAACAAGUUGCUGCUCAAGAGAAGAAACCCAAGUCUGGACCAAAGCCUGAAACUGAGUGCUUCUACUGCAAUCAGACUGGACACUGGAAGCAGAACUGCCCCAAGUAUUUGGCGGAUAAGAAGGAUGGCAAAGUAAACAAAGGUAUAUGUGAUAUACAUGUUAUUGAUGUGUACCUUACUAAUGCUCGCAGUAGUACCUGGGUAUUUGAUACUGGUUCUGUUGCUAAUAUUUGCAACUCGAAACAGGGACUACGGAUUAAGCAAAGAUUGGCUAAGGACGAGGUGACGAUGCGCGUGGGAAAUGGUUCCAAGGUCGAUGUCAUCGCGGUCGGCACGCUACCUCUACAUCUACCAUCGGGAUUAGUUUUAGACCUAAAUAAUUGUUAUUUGGUGCCAGCGUUAAGCAUGAACAUUAUAUAUGGAUCUUGUUUGAUGCGAGACGGUUAUUCAUUUAAAUCAGAGAAUAAUGGUUGUUCUAUUUAUAUGAGUAAUAUCUUUUAUGGUCAUGCACCCUUGAAGAGUGGUCUAUUUUUAUUGAAUCUCGAUAGUAGUGAUACACAUAUUCAUAGUGUUGAAACCAAAAGAUGCAGAGUUGAUAAUGAUAGUGCAACUUAUUUAUGGCACUGCCAUUUAGGUCAUAUCGGUGUAAAGCGCAUGAAGAAACUCCAUACUGAUGGGCUUUUGGAAUCACUUGAUUAUGAAUCACUUGGUACUUGCGAACCAUGCCUUAUGGGCAAGAUGACUAAAACGCCGUUCUCCAGAACUAUGGAGCGAGCAACUGAUUUAUUGGAAAUCAUAAAUACUGAUGUUUGUGGUCCAAUGAAUGUUGAGGCUCGCGGCGGGUAUCGUUAUUUUCUCACCUUCACAGAUGACUUGAGCAGAUAUGGGUAUAUCUACUUGAUGAAACACAAGUCUGAAACAUUUGAAAAGUUCAAAGAAUUUCAGAGUGAAGUGGAAAAUCAUCAUAACAAGAAAAUAAAGUUUCUACGAUCUGAUCGUGGAGGAGAAUAUUUGAGUUACGAGUUUGGUUUACAUUUGAAACAAUGCGGAAUAGUUUCGCAACUCACGCCACCCGGAACACCACAACUAAAUGGUGUGUCCGAACGUCGUAAUCGUACUUUACUAGAUAUGGUGCGAUCUAUGAUGUCUCUUACUGAUUUACCGCUAUCGUUUUGGGGUUAUGCUUUAGAGACAGCCGCAUUCACAUUAAAUAGGGCACCAUCAAAAUCCGUUAAGACGACGCCUUAUGAACUGUGGUUUGGCAAGAAACCAAAGUUGUCAUUCCUUAAAGUUUGGGGUUGCGAUGCUUAUGUGAAGAAACUUCAACCAGAUAAGCUCGAACCUAAAUCGGAGAAAUGUGUCUUCAUAGGAUACCCAAAAGAGACCAUUGGGUACACCUUCUAUCACAGAUCUGAGGGCAAGAUUUUUAUUGCUAAAAUCGGAUCCUUUCUAGAGAAGGAGUUUCUCUUGAAAGAAGUGAGUGGGAGGAAAGUAGAACUUGAUGAGAUAACUGUAUCUACUCCCUUGUUGGAAAGUAGUUCAUCACAAGAACCGGUUCCUGUGACAACUACACCAAUUAGUGAGGAAGCUAAUGAUAUUGAUCAUGAAACUUCAGAUCAAGUUUCUACUGAACCUCAUAGGUCUACCAGAGUAAGAUCCGCACCAGAGUGGUACGGUAAUCCUAUUCUAGAAGUCAUGUUACUUGACCAUGAUGAACCUACAAACUAUGGAGAAGCGAUGAUGAGCCCAGAUUCCGCAAAAUGGCUAGAGGCCAUGAAAUCUGAGAUGGGAUCCAUGUAUGAGAACAAAGUAUGGACUCUGGUUGACUUGCCCGAUGAUCGGCAAGCCAUUGAGAAUAAAUGGAUCUUUAAGAAGAAGACUGACGUUGAUGGUAAUGUAACUGCCUAUAAAGCUCGACUUGUUGCAAAAGGUUUUCGACAAGUUCAAGGGGUUGACUACGAUGAGACUUUCUCACCCGUAGCGAUGCUUAAGUCUGUCCGAAUCAUGUUAGCUAUUGCUGCAUUUCAUGAUUAUGAAAUCUGGCAAAUGGAUGUCAAAACUGCAUUCUUGAAUGGAUUUCUAGAAGAAGAGUUGUAUAUGAUGCAGCCAGAAGGUUUUGUUGAUCCAAAAGGUGCUAACAAAGUGUGCAAGCUCCAGCAAUCCAUUUAUGGACUGGUGCAAGCAUCUCGGAGUUGGCAUAUGGUUUUAUACAGACUUUUGGAGAAGCUUGUAUUUACAAGAAAGUGAGUGGGAGCUCUGUAGCAUUUCUGAUAUUAUAUGUAGAUGACAUAUUAUUAAUUGGAAAUGAUAUAGAAUUUCUGGAUAGCAUAAAGGGAUACUUGAAUAAAGUUUUUCAAUGAAAGAUCUAGGUGAAGCUGCUUACAUAUUGGGCAUCAAGAUCUAUAGAGAUAGAUCAAGACGCUUAAUAGGACUUUCACAAAGCACAUACCUUGAUAAAAUUUUGAAAAAGUUCAAAAUGGAUCAGGCAAAGAAAGGGUUCUUGCCCGUGCUUCAAGGUGUGAAGUUGAGUCAAACUCAAUGCCCGACGACAGCAGAAGAUAGAGAGAAAAUGAAAGAUAUUCCCUAUGCUUCAGCCAUAGGCUCUAUCAUGUAUGCAAUGCUGUGUACCAGACCUGACGUAUGCUUAGCAAUAAGUUUGGCAGGGAGGUACCAAAGUAAUCCAGGAGUGGAUCACUGGACAGCGGUCAAGAACAUCCUGAAAUACCUGAAAAGGACCAAGGAUAUGUUUCUCGUAUAUGGAGGUGACAAAGAGCUAGCCACAAAUGGUUACGUCGAUGCAAGCUUUGACACUGAUCCGGAUGAUUCUAAAUCGCAAACCGGAUACAUGUUUUUAUUAAACGGUGGAGCUGUAAGUUGGUGCAGUUCUAAACAAAGCGUCGUGGCGGGAUCUACAUGUGAAGCUGAGUACAUAGCUGCUUCGGAAGCAGCAAAUGAAGCAGUCUAGAUGAAGGAGUUCAUUUCCGAUCUAGGUGUCAUACCUAGUGCAUCGGGACCAAUGAAGAUCUUCUGUGAUAAUACUGGUGAUAUUGCUUUGGCAAAGGUAUCCAGAUUUCACAAGAGGACCAAGCACAUCAAGAGACGGUUCAAUUCCAUCCGGGACCAAGUCCAAGUGGGAGACAUAGAAAUUUGCAAGAUACAUACGGAUCUGAAUGUUGCAGACCCUUUGACUAAGCCUCUCUCACGAGCAAAACAUGAUCAGCACCAAGACUCCAUGGGUGUUAGAAUCAUUACUAUGUAAUCUAGAUUAUUGACUCUAGUGCAAGUGGGAGACUGAAGGAAAUAUGCCCUAGAGGUAAUAAUAAAGUUAUUAUUUAUUUCCUCAUAUCAUGAUAAAUGUUUAUUAUUCAUGCUAGAAUUGUAUUAACCGGAAACAUGAUACAUGUGUGAAUACAUAGACAAACAUAUAGUCACUAGUAUGCCUCUACUUGACUAGCUCAUUAAUCAAAGAUGGUUAUGUUUCCUAACCAUAGACAUGUGUUGUCAUUUGAUUAAUGGGAUCACAUCAUUAGGAGAAUGAUGUGAUUGACAUGACCCAUUCCGUUAGCCUAGCACUUGAUCGUUUAGUAUAUUGCUAUUGCUUUCUUCAUGACUUAUACAUGUUCCUGUAACUAUGAGAUUAUGCAACUCCCGUUUACCGAAGGAACACUUUGGGUACUACCAAACGUCACAACGUAACUGGGUGAUUAUAAAGGAGUACUACAGGUGUCUCCGAAGGUACAUGUUGAGUUGGCGUAUUUCGAGAUUAGGUUUUGUCACUCCGAUUGUCGGAGAGGUAUCUCUGGGCCCUCUCGGUAAUGCACAUCACUAUAAGCCUUGCAAGCAAUGUGACCAAUGAGUUGGUUACGGGAUGAUGCAUUACGUAACGAGUAAAGAGACUUGCCGGUAACGAGAUUGAACUAGGUAUUGGAUACCGACGAUCAAAUCUCGGGCAAGUAACAUACCGAUGACAAAGGGAACAACGUAUGUUGUUAUGCGGUUUGACCGAGAAAGAUCUUCAUAGAAUAUGUAGGAACCAAUACGGGCAUCCAGGUUCCGCUAUUGGUUAUUGACCGAGAAUAGUUCUAGGUCAUGUCUACAUAGUUCUCGAACCCGUACGGUCCGCACGCUUAACGUUACGAUGACAGUUUUAUUAUGAGUUUAUAAGGUUUGAUGUACCGAAGUUUGUUUGGAGUCCCGGAUGUGAUCACGGACAUGACGAGGAGUCUCGAAAUGGUCGAGACAUAAAGAUUGAUAUAUUGGACGACUACAUUCGGACACCGGAAGUGUUCCGGGUGAUUUCGGAGAAAACCGGAGUGCCGGAGGGUUACCGGAACCCCCCCCCCCCCGGGAGAGUUAAUGGGCCACAUGGGCCUUAGUGGGAAGAGAGAGGGGCGGCCAGGGUGGGCCACGCGCCCCCUCUCCCUCUGGUCCGAAUUGGACUAGGAGGGGGGCGGCGCCCCCCUCUUUCCUUCCCCCUCUCCCCCUUCCUUUCCCCCUCCUAGUAGGAGUAGGAAAGGGGGAGUCCUACUCCUACUAGGAGGAGGACUCCUCCUCCUUGGUGCACCCCAAGGGGCCGGCCAGCCUCCCCCCUUGCUCCUUUAUAUACGGGGGCAGGGGGGCACCCUAGAACACACAAGUUGAUCUACGAAUCGUUCCUUAGCCGUGUGCGGUGCCCCCCUCCACCAUAUUCCACCUCGAUCAUAUCGUCGCAGAGAUUAGGCGAAGCCCUGCGCCGGUAGAGCAUCAUCAUCGUCACCACGCCGUCGUGCUGACGGAACUCAUCCCCGAAGCUUUGCUGGAUCGGAGCCCGGGGAUCGUCAUCGAGCUGAACGUGUGCUGAACUCGGAGGUGCCGUACGUUCGGUACUUGGAUCGGUCGGAUCAUGAAGACGUACGACUACAUCAACCGCGUUGUCAUAACGCUUCCGCUUACGGUCUAUGAGGGUACGUGGACAACACUCUCCCCUCUCGUUGCUAUGCCAUCACCAUGAUCUUGCGUGUACGUAGGAAAUUUUUGAAAUUACUGCGUUCCCCAACAGUUUAUUAUUCAUGCUAGAAUUGUAUUAACCGGAAACUUGAUACAUGUGCGGAUACAUAGACAAAACACAAUGUCCCUAGUAUGCCUCUACUAGACUAGCUCGUUAAUCAAAGAUGGUUAAGUUUCCUAACCAUAGACAUGUGUUGUCAUUUGAUAAACGGGGUCACAUCAUUAGGAGAAUGAUGUGAUGGACAAGACCCAUCCGUUAGCUUAGCAUAAUGAUUGUUAAGUUUUAUUGCUAUUGCUUUCUUCAUGACUUAUACAUAUUCCUUUGACUAUGAGAUUAUGUCACUCCCGAACACCGGAGGAAUACCUUGUGUGCUAUCAAACAUCACAACAUAACUGGGUGAUUAUAAAGAUGCUCUACAGGUAUCUCCAAAGGUGUUUGUUGGGUUGGCAAAGAUCGAGAUUAGGAUUUGUCACUCCAAGUAUCAGAGAGGUAUCUCUGGGCCCUCUCGGUAAUACACAUCAUAAGAAGCCUUGCAAGCAAAGUGACUAAUGAGUUAGUUGCAGGAUGAUGCUACGGAACAAGUAAAGAGACUUGACGCUAACGAGAUUGAACUAGGUAUCAAGAUACCGACGAUCGAAUCUCGGGCAAGUACCAUACCGAUGACAAAGGGAAUAACGUAUGUUGUCAUAACGGUUCGACCGAUAAAGAUCUUCGUAGAAUAUAUGGGAGCCAAUAUGAGCAUCCAGGUUCCGCUAUUGAUUAUUGACCGGAGAGGAGUCUCGGUCAUGUCUACAUAGUUCUCGAACCCAUAGGGUCCGCAUGCUUAACGUUCGAUGACGAUUUGUAUUAUAUGAGUUAUGUGAUUUGGUGACCGAAUGUUGUUUGGAGUCCCGGGUGAGAUCACGGACAUGAUGAGGAGUCUCGAAAUGGUCGAGAGGUAAAGAUUGAUAUAUUGGAAGGUAGUAAUCGGACACCAGAAGUGUUCCGGAAUGUAUCAGGUACAUAUCGGAGUACCUGGGGGGUUGCCGAAACCCCCCGGGGGAAGAUAUGGGCCAUAUGGGCCAUAGGAGGGAGGCACACCAGCCCACAAAGGGGUGGCAAGAUCCCCACCAGGGAGGAGUCCGAAUUGGACAAGGGGAGGGGUGGCGCGCCCCUUUCCUUCUUCCCCUUUCUCUCCUUCCCCCUUCUCCCCUCCGGUAAAAGGAAGGGGGGAGAAUCCUACUAGGACCCCAAGUAGGACUCCUACCUGCGGCACGCCUAGGGCCGGCCUCCUCUCCCUUCCUCCUUUAUAUACGGGGGGCACCCCUAGAACACACAUCAAUUGUUCCAAGCCGUGUGCGGCGUCCCCCUCCAUAGUUUAUGCCUCCGGUCAUAUUCACGUAGUGCUUAGACGAAGCCCUGCGCGGAUCACUCACCAUCACCGUCACCACGCCGUCGUGCUGAUGGAACUCUCCCUUGGCACUUUGCUGGAUCAAUAGUUCGAGGGACAUCAUCGAGCUGAACUUGUGCAGAACUUGGAGGUGACGUACGUUCGGUGCUUGAUCGAUUGGAUCGAAAAGACGUUCGACUACAUCAAUAGCGUUAAGCAAACACUUCCGAUUUCGGUCUACAAGGGUACGUGGACACAUUCUCCCCUUCUCGUUGCUAUGCAUCUCCUAGAUAGAUCUUGCAUGAGCAUAGGAUUUUUUUUUGAAAUUACAUGCUACGUUCCCCAGCAGACACGUCACUUUAUGUAUAGUUGUGUUGUAACAUUGAACUGUAACGUUUGGUUGUAAUCUUCUGUUGUAUGAUCACAAUCUCCACUCCUCGUACAAGGCCUGUGUGCCCAUCAUUACGGGAGUCGUUAGGAGGAGCCCAUCCUAUUUGUACCUAUAACUGAUGUACNNNNNNNNNNNNNNNNNNNNNNNNNNNNNNNNNNNNNNNNNNNNNNNNNNNNNNNNNNNNNNNNNNNNNNNNNNNNNNNNNNNNNNNNNNNNNNNNNNNNNNNNNNNNNNNNNNNNNNNNNNNNNNNNNNNNNNNNNNNNNNNNNNNNNNNNNNNNNNNNNNNNNNNNNNNNNNNNNNNNNNNNNNNNNNNNNNNNNNNNNNNNNNNNNNNNNNNNNNNNNNNNNNNNNNNNNNNNNNNNNNNNNNNNNNNNNNNNNNNNNNCCUUCUUAUCCUACAUUCUCACUCAAUUUAAUACUUUUAUUAAGUGCAUGCAAUGUGAUAACGGUGGCGAGUUCAUAAACACCUGCCUACGCACCUUUUUCUCCAACAAUGGCAUCGUCUACCAUCUUUCUUGCCCUCACGCUUCUCCUCAAAAUGGUAAGGCUUAAUGCAUGCUCCGCACCACCAACAAUGUGUUGGAAAUAUGCCCUAGAGGCAAUAAUAAAAGGAUUAUUAUUAUAUUUCCUUGUUCGUGUUAAUUGUCUUUUAUUCAUGCUAUAAUUGUAUUAUCCGGAAAUCGUAAUACACGUGUGAAUACAUAGACCAUAACAUGUCCCUAUUGAGCCUCUAGUUGACUAGCUCGUUGAUCAACAGAUAGUCAUGGUUUCCUGACUAUGGACAUUGGAUGUCAUUGAUAACGAGAUCACAUCAUUAGGAGAAUGAUGUGAUGGACAAGACCCAAUCCUAAGCAUAGCACAAGAUCGUGUAGUUCGUUUGCUAGAGCUUUUCCAAUGUCAAGUAUCUUUUCCUUAGACCAUGAGAUCGUGUAACUCCCGGACACCGUAGGAGUGCUUUGGGUGUACCAAACGUCACAACGUAACUGGGUGACUAUAAAGGUAUACUACGGGUAUCUCCAAAAGUGUCCGUUGGGUUGACACGGAUCGAGACUGGGAUUUGUCACUCCGUAUGACGGAGAGGUAUCUCUGGGCCCACUCGGUAAUGCAUCAUCAUAAUAAGCUCAAAGUGACCAAGUGUCUGGUCACGGGAUCAUGCAUUACGGUACGAGUAAAGUGACUUGCCGGUAACGAGAUUGAACGAGGUAUUGGGAUACCGACGAUCGAAUCUUAGGCAAGUAACAUACCGAUUGACAAAGGGAAUUGUAUACGGGGUUGCUUGAAUCCUCGACAUCGUGGUUCAUCCGAUGAGAUCAUCGAGGGGCAUGUGGGAGCCAACAUGGGUAUCUAGAUCCCGCUGUUGGUUAUUGGCCGGAGAGCCGUCUCGGUCAUGUCUACGUGUCUCCCGAACCCGUAGGGUCUACACACUUAAGGUUCGGUGACGCUAGGGUUGUAGAGAUAUUAGUAUGCAGCAAACCAAAAGUUGUUCGGAGUCCCGGAUGAGAUCCCGGACGUCACGAGGAGUUCUGAAAUGGUCCGGAGGUAAAGAAUUAUAUAUGGGAAGUCAAGUUUCGGCCAUCGGGAAAGUUUCGGGGGUCACCGGUAUUGUACCGGGACCACCGGAAGGGUCCCGGGGGUCCACCGGGUGGGGCCACCUAUCCCGGAGGGCCCCAUGGGCUGAAGUGGGAGGGGAACCAGCCCUUGGUGGGCUGGUGCGCCCCCCUUGGGCCCCCCCUGCGCCUAGGGUUGGGGACCCUAGGGAAGGGGGCGCCUCCACUUGCCUUGGGGGGCAAGGCACCCCCCUUGGCCGCCGCCCCCCCCUAGGAGAUCCCAUCUCCUAGGGCCGGCGCCCCCCUGGGGACCCUAUAUAUAGAGGGGGGAGGGAGGGCAGCCGCACCCUUGCACUUGGCGCCUCCCUUCCCCCUUGCUACACCUCUCCCUCCCGCAGACGCUUGGCAAAGCCCUGCCGGGAUCCCUGCUGCAUCCACCACCACGCCGUCGUGCUGCUAGAUCUUCAUCAACCUCUCCUUCCCCCUUGCUGGAUCAAGAAGGAGGAGAUGUCACGCUGACCGUACGUGUGUUGAACGCGGAGGUGUCGUCCGUUCGGCGCUAGGAUCUCCGGUGAUUUGGAUCACGACGAGUACGACUCCCUCAACCCCGUUCUCUUGAACGCUUCCGCUCGCGAUCUACAAGGGUAUGUAGAUGCACUCCUCUCUCUAGUUGCUAGAUGAACUCAUAGAUUGAUCUUGGUGAACGUAGGAAAAAAAUUAUUUUAUGCAACGUUCCCCAACACAAUGUUGUGCGUACCCUUCUUCUUCACGCCUCCCUACCUCCUCCCUUUUGGGUAGAAGCCCUGCACACCGCCACCCACCUCUUGAACCGCCACCCCUCCACCAAGACUCACCCCUACACACCUUACUUCCUCCUAACCGGCUCUCACCCUCGCUGUGACCACCUCCAUGUCUUCGGCUACCUUUGUUUUCCUAAUCUAUAUGCGACUAGCCCUCACAAAUUGGCGCCACGCUCCACGGUGUGUUUUUCUCUUCUACCCACUCAAGCACAAGGGCUGCCGUUGUUUGGAUCUCCAAAUUCACCGCGUCAUUCUCUCUAGGCACGUCAUUUUUGACGAAACAACUUUUCCUUAUACCCCUCCCUCACCCACGGCCACAGCCACACCAGCUGCACCGAAUCCCUCUCUUGUCCCUCUGCGCAGCUCAAUCCACACUGGUAUCUGUAGCCUACCUACCUCGGACCCUGGCAUCCCACCAGAUCCCCCUCCCAUCCACCCAUCAAACCCCACGCGCCCCCAACCCCACCACCGAGUCGACCGGCUCCGGAGACCCACUCGUCACUAGCCCCGCAUUCCCCAAUCAGCGCCCGCCGGCAACCCCACCGUCCUCCACUAGCGUUGAAUCUCCCACCUCCCUUGGUUCUCCUGCAAUUCUCUCGCCUACCGUGCCUGACUCACCACCACACCCUGCACCGGGUCCCACCGUAUCUCCCUUGCAAUAUGUGCCAGCCUCUCCUAGCCCGCCACAUCACCAUGCUAUCCUGGUGCCUCUCCCGCUCAAUUCUCAUCGCAUGCAGACCCGCGCCAAACGGGGUUUCGCUCAACCCCGUCGCCUGUUCAUGUUACACACCACACCCGACGUCUCCCCUCUUCCUUCCACCUGUAAAACUGCCCUCAAAGAUCCCAAUUGGCAUGCUGCUAUGUGUGAUGAAUUUAAUGCUUUGAUUAAGAACAACACUUGGAGUUUGGUUCCUUGUCCUGCAGGCACUAAUGUGGUCACCAGCAAAUGGAUCUUCCGCCACAAACUUCAUCCCAAUGGCUCGCUAGCUCGGUAUAAAGCACGUUGGGUUCUCUACGGUUUCACCCAACAAGAGGGAGUCGAUUACACGGAGACUUUCAGUCCGGUUGUUAAACCGGUCACCAACCGCACCGUCCUCAACAUUGCCACCACCCACUUUGGGCCCAUCCAUCAACUGGAUGUCAAGAACACCUUCUUACACGGUGAUCUUGGUUAGACCGUGUACUGUUCACAACCGGUUGGUUUUCCUGACACCUCCCGUCCCAACCAUGUUUGUCUUCUCAAGAAAUCCUUAUGUGGGUUGAAACAGGCUCCCUGCACAUGGUUUUUGAGCUUCAAAUCUUACAUUCUCACUUUGGGGUUCAAGUCUUCCAAAUGUGACACCUCCUUGUUCAUCUUGCAUCAUGGCUCCUAGGUGGCAUAUCUCCUUUUAUACGUCGAUGACAUCAUUCUCACAGCCAACUCCACCUCCACCAUGCAUUCCAUCAUUCACUGAAUUUGACCGAUCGAGGUGACAUCCAUCACUUUCUCGGAGUCAAUGUCACACGAAACACUGCGGGCUUGUUCCUCACUCAACAGCAAUAUGUGUUAGAGAUUUUGGAGCGUGCAAACAUGUUGCAUUGCAACCCUAUUUCUACACUGGUGGACACGCGCUCUAAACUCUCUUCUCAUGACGACGACCCCCUCCCCAACCCCACUCUCUACCGAAGCCUUGUGGUGCCCUCCAAUAUCUCACCUUAACCAAACCCGAUAUUUCCUAUGCCGUGCAGCAGGCUUGCCUCUUCAUGCAUGCUCCUCGUACCUCCCACUUCCAGCUGCUCAAACGCAUCCUACGAUACCUCCAGGGCACUUCCCACUUCGGCCUUCAGAUCUACACGUCGCCAUCUCAUGACCUUGUUGCCUACUCUGAUGCGGAUUGGGCCGGCUGCCCGGAUACGCGCAAGUCUACCUCCGGGUUUUGUGUUUUCUUGGGCACGAACCUGAUUUCUUGGUCAUCAAAACGACAACUCACUAUUUCCCGAUCCAGUGCCAAAGCUGAAUACCGUGCGGUUGCAAAUUGCGUUGCUGCUGCUCAUCGAGGUCCGGCGUCCUCCCCUCACGCCACUCUCGUCUAUUGUGACAACAUCUCUGCGACGUAUUUGUCUUCCAAUCCAAUGCAGCACCAACGUACCAAACAUGUUGAAAUCGAUGUACCAUCGAUUCCCAGUACGCAGAUGUGUUCACCAAGGGACUGCCCACGACGAUCUUCAAUGCUUCUAGGUCCAGCCUGAACGUCCAGCCCGGUGGAGUUCCGACNNNNNNNNNNNNNNNNNNNNNNNNNNNNNNNNNNNNNNNNNNNNNNNNNNNNNNNNNNNNNNNNNNNNNNNNNNNNNNNNNNNNNNNNNNNNNNNNNNNNNNNNNNNNNNNNNNNNNNNNNNNNNNNNNNNNNNNNNNNNNNNNNNNNNNNNNNNNNNNNNNNNNNNNNNNNNNNNNNNNUUAUGUAUCGUUGUGUUGUAACGUUUGGUUGUAAUCUACUGUUGUACGAUCCCUAGUUUGUAGGAUCACGAUCUCCGCUCCUCGUACGAGGCCUGCAUGCCCAUCGUUACGGGAGUCGUUAGGAGGAGUUCGUCCUAUUUAUACCUAUAACUGUUGUACGAGUAACACACUCUGUGAACAGCGGCAUCUUCCUCCUCUAACGGGCAGUUUGAGGGCCGGCAUUAUUGGAGAUGCACCUACUCACUCCUAUACUAAUCUCCUACAGCCUGCAAAUACAAUUUCUUUAUCUUGGCCCAAAUCCAGUUUGCCACACGCACGUUGGCGCGAAAUGAAAUGCAGCUGAUUGCCCCGUAGAAUAGAAUCACCGUAGAGCGAGAGCGAGCCGAGAGAGGGAGGGGCCUUGCCCUUGCGCUAGCUCCCGGACCGUUGAAGGGGAGGGCAGGCCUAAGAAUGCACUUUCUAAUAAUAAAGCAUGCGGCGCUCCCUAAUUAUACUCCCGGCCCUCUCCCCCCCUCGGCCACCGGGGCCUCUCUUCUUCCCCUCCGCCUUCUUCCCACCCACCAUGGCACCGCGGGCGAUCGGUCGAACCCAAUCCGUGGACCGCGAACAAGACCCACGGGAAUCAUCCGCCCGCGGCUACUGAUCAUUUCGAUCCGUUUCUCCUCCCAACGCUUUCGGCUCUGCGCGCGCCGGCUCAUCCUUUUGCCUCCGGCUUUGCACUCGACGCACGCACGUCGCUCGAGGCCCCGGAAAGCUGCGCGCUUUACAGGUACGUACGCCGGUAUCAUCAGUCAUAAUCAUAAUGUGAGUUCUUGAGUACGCCUCGCUGUCCAUCCAAUCCUUGAGGAGAAAGCUAGGUCAUGAAGCAUACAUACGUGCCGUUUUGAAGUUACGGUAGGUAGAUCGGGCGACGAUGGCGGCCAACGGCGGGUCGCUGGAGCGGCGGGGCUCCAUGCGGCGGUCGGGGAGCAAGGCGAAGGAGGAGCCGGCGGCCGACCACCGCGCCGAGGACCAUGGCACAGGACCUUCCGGUAAGUAGCAGUCAAGAUCGAUCGGUUGCCCUUCCGGCCGGUACGUUGGCUAGCUCUGAAGAGGCGUCGGUCGUUUGCAUUGCAUGCAGACAUUGAAGUGAUCAAGGAGAAGUUCGGCAAGCUGCUGCUCGGGGAGGACAUGUCGGGGUCCGGCAAAGGCGUGCCGUCCGCGCUGGCCCUCUCCAACGCCAUCACUAAUCUUGCAGGUCACAACCUAGCUACCUUCCUACUACCUAGGAGUAGUUACUACGUAGGAGUACUUGCCAAAUCAAGUUGUUCUCAUCCAUAUGGAAUGAAAGGGUUGCAAAAUAAAAUGCCAAGAAAAAAGCUGACGGUUACAGUAAUGUUGGCAGCUGCUGUGUUCGGCGAACAACGCAAGUUGGAGCCCAUGGCCCCCGACAGAAAGGCGAGGUGGAAGAAAGAAGUGGGCUGGCUCCUGUCCGUGGCGGAUCAGAUCGUGGAGUUCGUCGCCAAGAAACAAGUCCUGGACAACGGCGUCGAAAUGGAGGUUCGGUUGAACAACAGCUUCUUCUUCUUCUUCUUUUGCCCGGUCGCUCUGGUAAUCUCCUUCCUUGCACUGCUCUGCUCGCUGCAGGUAAUGGGCACGCAGCAGCGAAGGGAUCUGCAGUCCAACAUACCGGCAUUGCGCAAGAUCGACGCCAUGCUUCUCGUAAGAAACAUCAACUUUCCAAGCAAAUGCCACCUAGCUAGCUAGCGCAUAUGUAUGUAGCUGAAACUCGUACCACCUUUGCGGUUUUCUAGGAUUACCUGGACGCCUUCAAGGACCGCACCGACUUUUGGUACGUAAAGCGCGACUCGUGCUCGGACGCCGAGAAGGAGGAGUCCAACACAUCGGAAGAGAAGUGGUGGAUACCCAUCGUGAAGGUCCCUCCCAACGGGCUGCCCCCGGCGUCCAGAGCCUGGAUCCAGCACCAGAAGGAGCUGGUGAACCAGGUGCUCAAGGCGGCCAUGGCCAUCAACGCCAACUGCCUCAUGGAGAUGGCCAUCCCAGAGUCCUACCUAGAGUCGCUGCCCAAGGUACGUCCUCUGAAUAGAAUACCAUCAUCUUCAUCGUUCUCUGACCACACGAAGCUAGCUGUUGUUGAUAUGAAAAUGAAAAUGGGACGCAGAACGGGCGGGCGAGCCUCGGGGACGCGCUGUACCGGAUCAUCACGGACGUGGAGUUCGACCCGGACGACUUCCUGUCGACGGUGGACCUGACGUCGGAGCACAAGAUCCUGGACCUCAAGGACCGCAUCGAGGCGUCGGUCAUCAUCUGGAACAGGAAGGUGCACAACAAGGACGGCAAGUCCGCCUGGGGCUCCGCCGUCAGCCAGGAGAAGCGGGAGCAGUUCGAGGAGCGGGCGCAGACGCUGCUGCUCAUCAUCAAGCACAGGUUCCCCGGCAUCCCCCAGUCCACCCUCGACAUCGCAAAGAUACAAGAAAACAGGGUACGUAUUGAUGCAACAAUCACACAUAUUACCUAAAUUUCAAGUGCUAGCUAGCUAAUUUGGUGAUGCACGUUAAUUAAUUCAGUUUUGCUAAGUCUCAAUCAGUGAGACUUCGUUAUGUCUCAGUCGACUGAGACCUAGACACACUCUAAUUAAUUUCCUUGGCUGGCUGGCUGGCUGACGACUAUAGGACGUGGGAUUUGCUCUCCUGGAGAGCUACUCCAGGAUCCUCGAGAGCCUGGCCUUCAACGUCAUGUCCAGGAUAGAGGACGUGAUCGUCGCCGACAACGUGGCCAGGGAGAAGGCCAAGAAGGACGCGCCGCCCGGCUCGAUCUCGGAGGCGCCCCCCCAGGUCCCCGAUGGUGCAGACAGCAUGACGCUGCUCGACUUCAUGGGCUGGAACGGCGACUCGGAGGGGAGGUCCGACGACCAGUCCCCGUCGGCGGUGGACCCGGCGCAGGACGACGGGAGGCUCAUGAAGCUGCCCAACAUCAUGACCAACCUUUUUAUGAAAACGUCACAGUGAUGGGAUAUUUUUCCCCUUUUUAUGAACUUCUACUACUUUGUCAUCAACAAAAAGAUGAAUGCCGUCCAAUUACUGCAUCUAUUUUGUACCAGGCUACCAGCACAUGGUAGAAAACCAAAAGGCCUCGAGUAGAGAGUUCAUUAAUUGUUGUAAAAAUACUAGUUUCAACAGAUAUGUCAAUAGGGGAACCAUAAUCAUAUACUCCCUCCAUCCAUAUAUAUAUAUAUAUAGGGGCUAAUUCGUCUUUCAAGGUAGCCUUUGACCAAUGAUAAAAUUAUUAGUAUAUGAGAUGUAUGAUAUAAAAAUUAUAUCACUAGAAACUCUUUUCACAUACGAACUUGAUGAUAUGAUUUGUGUAACAUGCAUGUCAUAUAUUAUUGUGCUAACCCGUGGUCAAAGGUAACCUCAAAAAAUGUAUCAGGCCCUAUAUUAUAAGUGGAAAGAGGGAGUACUAUAAUGCAUACAAUUCCAUGCAACUUAUGAAUAAAUAAGGCAGAAAGUGAUAAUUACAUUAUCUUGCACAUGCAGCUAGAGUACGUACCGGAAUGGUUCAUAUGACAGGCAUUCGAAUUGUCCGUAUUGAAUAAUUCUUUUGUGGCUGAAACCCAAAGCAUAAGACAUUAUAUUUACUCUUUGUUCAGUUCAGCACGAAACAGAAUUUAGAUAAUCAGUACCCUAAUAUUCUGCAAUGGAUCAUAUGAUGAAGAACCUAUAAGAACAGUGAGUCCAAAAUAGGCAGCAACGCCAGCGCCUAUAAUAUUAUAUUGAAACGCUAGCUACCUCGGCGUGAGUUUCAAUAUAAUGCCUUUGGCGUUUCUUACCUGGUCCGAAACGCUAGCUACCUCGGCGUUUCUUCUUGGUCAGAAACGCUAGCUACCUCGGCGUUUCUAUGUUGGGCAGAAACGCCGCGGGCUGUGGCGUUGCUAAAAGGGUUAGAUCGUAAAAUACUUUUACGUCGAGUUCAUUUUGUGACAAAGUUUGUUGAAAGAGUCAGAAUAGUGAAAAAGUCCGAGACAACACGAAUUGAAUGGAACUUGUCGAUGGGCCUACAUGGGCUUUUGGUCGUCGAUUGACUUGAUGAAGGAGAUGAUCUCUAGCUCUGUGCGCGGAGCAGCGGUCCAAUUACGUGGGCUGAGUGGACUACAAUAAUGACGGGUGAAAGGGCACUACGACGCUGGGUGAGACAAUUGAACAAAUCUGAGCCUUUUCUUUGCUGGAUCCGACGGCUGACAGCAUCAAAUUGCUGUUGUGGCUUGUAGGUGCCCCAUUAUACUGUUUCUUAAUACAUUUUUGCCUGACAUUAAAUUAGGUUUCAGCUUUCCACAUAUAUUGCCACUCUUUUUCAAGAUUUCUUAGGGCAACUCGAAGCGGAUCACCAAAACCGCAAAACGGACCUGAUGUUCGGGUGUGUCCUGAACAGGGAUAGGGGUGGAGGCUAUCUAAAUGUCCACUCCUAGUUUUUUCCAUAUACCCGGACUAACAAAAAACAAAGAUAAAUAGCAUAUACUCCCUCUGUUCCUUAAUAUUUGUCUUUUUAAAGAUUUCAUAUGGACUACCACAUACGGAUGUAUAUAGACAUAUUUUAGAGUGUAGAUUCACUCAUUUUGCUUCGUAUCUAGUCACUUGUUGAAAUCUCUAGAAAGACAAACAUUUAGGAAUGGGGGGAGUAAUUUUUAAGCAAUUGAAAGAUAAAUAUUCUAAUGCAACAAUAAUUCAAAUAAAUAUAUUACAAUCCAAACAUAAAGUUUUGAAAUGAAAUGUUUAAGUUUGAAUCAUCAUAGUCGGACACAUGUUCUAUUUAUGAAACGCCCAAAGGUGCCUAGCCAGAUCAUUUUGCAGCUGCUCACGAGUUCCUUGACGUCAAAUUUGAUGAUGCAUUUAGAUAAAAUCCUCAAAUUUCUCUGGAUUCUGCCAUGGACCGAACACUUGUCGUGCGUGGUGUCUGCCAUAGACGGCGUCAGAAGAUAGCUGAGGAUACUUGAGUUGCGACUAGAUAGCCGGUGGAACGGCUGAAUAAUCCAAGGUGGGAAGGCGCUUGGGUGGAACACCAGAGGUCCGGCAAAGCCUGGAUAGAGUGCGGUGGGAGGGACGGAAUGAGGGAAAAGAGGCUUCAGGUUGGGAUAUUUUGGGUGUGUCAGACGUUCGGAUGCCCGCAAACCUCCCUUACGUUUAUGAGAUUUCAGCCAUCCAAACCAAUUCAUCCAUUUAUGGUGACCAUUCAAUAUCUAAGGGCAACACAGAUCAUCAAAUUUGAGAUGGCAGAAAAUGACUGAAUCGUCCGGUCUGGACAUUUGCGGGCAAUCUAGUGAUCAGCAACGGAGUUGCCCUUUAGAUGCCCUACGGGUUUGUUACACCUAAGCCAUCAAGACAUCUUCCUCUUCUCUCUUGUAUUCUUCUACUAGUUGAUUCAUUAUCUCUACCGUGUCACGUGAAAUGAAUUUGGGUUUCUGACAAGAGAACAGUAUAAUGAAGUUGGUAUUACGACGGACUGUAUUUUUAUGUUGCUCACAUGCUGAAUUUCUCAAAACAACGUAAACAUAAAACUUACACAAAAACAAAAUGGCGCGGCUAUUGCUUCAAGUUAUGUUUAUACUUGACUAAGGGGCCGUUCGGAAUCCCACCAGCUCCGGAGAGCUGCUGAGCCAGUAAACUGGCACUCCGCAAAACUCCACCAGCUCCGGGAGUGGAGCUGUGGAGCGGAGUACCUCCGAACAAGGCCUAAGCAAAAGAUCUUCCAGCCUGAGCUCAGAAACAACUAAAAGCACCGUAUGCAACAAACGAAAACGCUCGUACAGCUGACAAACAUUAGCUUCCCAAAACUAUGCAUUAUACAGCGCUGCAGGAUAAAUACCACAGCAUUCAAGGGUACGAAAGCAUCACAACUGCAGCUUAUUCGGGAUUCGAAAUCACCAUCAUCUUUAAUCCGGUGUGUACAAAACUGUCUCAGACAACAAGUUUAGCGAGUCUACAAGGCAAAUUCUUGAGUUCAGCCAGUAGUAACACACCUCUGGUUGAACCUUCGGACACUGCUGUAGGCAAUUUAACAUUUUAUUGGGAAGGGGUUGCAAUGUUAUCAUUCACUUCAGUUUUGUAACUGCAGCAUGUAUGGCAUCUGCAAGAUGGGGUACAGUCCUGGAGCUCAAACCGGCCAUGCUGAUCCUCCUGUAAGAGAAAUAUACGACUUGUCAAUAUGAAUAUGAAAUUGCUACAGGUGACUCUUGAGAAUGAAAACCACCAAAGAAAGCAAAUGUUCAUAAACAUAACGACUGCAAAAGAAGACAUCAAAGUUACUCCCUCCGUCCCAUAAUGUAGGACGUAGUGCCAAAAAACGUCUUACAUUAUAAGACGGAGGGAGUACACUACUAAUGCAUUUUUGGCGCCAUAUGUAAAUGGGUGAGAAUUCACGAGGCAUUACCCAUCAGAUGUCAUGUAAAUGUGAUAUUCCUGCCUCAUGAAGGCUACUUGCUCACUGUUGAGCCCAGUGAAAGUAAACAUCCCAAUCUGCUUAAUGAUGUGGGACCAAUCUCCAGGUGUUUCUGCAUGAUAUGACAAAUGGUCAACACUUUGGUAUAGAGGAAUUAAUAAAAAAUGGAUCAAAAGAUUGAACAUCCAUAACUUGGAGAUCGAUGGACCUGAACCAGAACACUCACUGCACUACAUGAACUUCAAAUUUCAGGGAUCUUAACAGGAACUUAGUAAUAAACCAUAUACAAAUAUAGGAGAUCAGAUAUUUAUCAGAUUUUGCUAAUAACCCAAGACGUUUCUGUUCAGAAAUCAGAAUAACUGUUCAGAAAUCAGAAUAACGUAAUACUAAUAUCCAAAGAACAAUUAGUUCAUAGAAAUUGUAUCAAUUGCUGAAAAUAAAAUGAUACUAGGUUCUGAUAGAAGAUCCUGGGAGAAAAAGGCCAUUAGUCAGACAUUAACUAUGUUAUUAACAGCAAAGAGGAAACACUGGACUUCGACAGAAACUAGUACCUCUGAUUUUCAGCGCAUCAAAAAGCUGCUCCCUCAUGCUAAUUAUCCUAUCAGCCAUGGCCUUCAGCUCCACGGUCCAUUCGUCGAACAUAGCACUACAAAUUGACAAAAAAUAGUCAAUAAGAACUAAGCACUACCAAUUAUAAGAUUUGUCGAUCUGCCAAUAAAAAUUCAUUUGAACAUAACUCAUUCUAUGAUUGAAUAGAAUAGUACCUGUCCUUAAGUAUGGUAGCCACAAUAGAAGCACCAUGAAGAGGAGGGUUCGAAUACAUAGGCCUAAUUACAAGCUUAAGUUGACUUUCAACCUUAACAGCUAUAUCAGCACUCCCACAAACCUAAAACAUCAAGUUGGAUUUUUCUUUCAGUUCCUCCAACAACUCAGUAAAAUGAAAAAUAUGAGAUGCAAUACAGCCUCUUAUGUAUGACACAAGUUCACCAAGUACAUCUACUAUCUCAUUAAAAGAAGGUUAAAAGAAGUUUCCAUGUCAUAGUGAGGUAUGAGUAGAUAAGAAUUAUUACAGUUGUAUAAGAUAUACAACUGCAAUUAUAGCUGUAUAGCAAACACCUGUAUGUAACUAUAACUCUAUGCAUUUUAGCAUAUCGGAUCACACAACUGCGGAGGCAAUUCUGGAAGUUAACUAUUACCAUCAACACAGCAAGAAGAUGCCUACAAGCUCGAAUUCAAGUCCAAAAACUAAGGGUAAGGC
rnacentral:lncRNA from 1 species